rnacentral:lncRNA from 1 species
CUUUUCAUUUGUCACCUGCAAGUCGUUAUCAAGUCCCUCUGUGUGCAGCUUCACUUUCCUUUCAAAAUGUUGUAUGAUGCCCUUAGUGCGAGGUGUAAGUGGUGUUUCGUUACCAUCAUCUGCCCCUGGCAUGGUUCAAAGACAAAGACAACAAAAAGGCAAGUGAAGAAAUAAAAGCCCUACAACUACUAGGAUGUAGCUACAGCAAGUCGCUCACACUCAACCUAUAACACAAGUUCUUACCAAUUCUUACCUUGCUUGACAGGAGGGGUCGUCUGCCAACAAGUGUACAGCAAUGGACGAAGUGUAUCGGUGCUGCAGCACAAGACCUGUCAAGCUGUAGAGUAUGUGGAGCUAUAGGUGGGCUGAAACAAGGAACGAACUAGCACCACGUUAGUUAUAAAAGCGAGCUGAAUAAGCGUUCGACGAUGGUACUGUGCUGGUCCUAGGCUAGACCGUGCUAGAGACGCGAGCCUGGACACAAAGGAAAACCACAGCACACCCCCAAAAACAAGGUGGGACAAACCUAAAAUCAAUAUGAAAAACAGCCCCUUUUCUUUGAAUCUUCUCUCUUUUCUUUUUUUUUUCUUUUUUUGGGGCAACCUCAAAAACUGAUUAUAUGAACAAAAGAAUACAAAAGAGCAAUUCGCUCCACACACUCUCUCUCUCUCUCUAGAGUAAGGCCGAACAAGUAGAGUUAUCUUUCUUUUUGAACUCAGAUUGGAACUCUACUCGAUCCGGACCAAGACCACAGUUCAAUUCAGACUUCGCAACAGAUUCGACAGAGAGAAGAUAUGGUAAUAGUCGGCUGUGUAUAGAUGGUGACAAGAACUCGAAACUCUAAAGGACUAGACACUAAGACCAGCAACUCGACACAAACCGAAGCAACGCAAAUUCAACAAGCCCUAACUAAAACGGUACUAGCCAAGGCACAAAGGUUUAAUAGGAUUAUGGAAAAACUAAUCUACUAUAUUUUUUUGGCUUUUCUGGACUAUAGGAAAUUAAUUAAAAACAGCAAAGGAUUAGAAGUCUCUCACCGAAGAACCUUGCUAUGAUACCAACUGAUGUGAACCCACUAGGGUUUUCGCCUGAUCUUUCGAUGAGAGGCGCUGGAUAACUCGAUUGGUGGAUGGAGAUGACGUUCACGGCCCGACUACAGCCCUCAAGACCGCGCCUUAGCAACCGAUACACCACGUCCAAUAGCCGUCACGAUCUUGUGGAGCGCGACAACCAGCCCCUAGGGCUCCCGUCCUGCAAGCAAUCGAAGAACUAGCAAGAACGAGGAAACAAGCACUGAAUUUGCAAGAUGAAUUGAAGGUUUCAAACUGAAUCUUAAUCAACAAUGGGGUUCCGAAGACAAGGAGACGGGCGGCUGAUCCUGCACGCGCGCCUACAAGCAAGUAGCGAAGGCUAAACUUGAUCUAAACAAAACCCAGUUGUUCAUGGCGGCUCUAGAUGUAAAUAAAUAGAGGGGAGGACGACCAAAGGGGUGCUAGAGUCGUCCUCCAACCCUAGGACACGUCCCUAAUGGACUCAACUUGAUACAUGGGCCAUUGGUCCAAAAUAGGGUGACGCAGCACCAAAACAGAAAAAGGUGUCGGCACGAAAACAAGGACUGCGCCCGACUCAUAAGCCGCAUAGAUAUGUGGUUGGACCCAUUGGAAAGUAGACUUCAUGAGCUUUCCAACAAGUAUAGGAACGUCCCAGUUGGAGUCCAUAUGACGCCGUGGUGAUCCAUACAAGUUAGAGUUAUUUUCCAGUCCGAAUCCAACUCCCAAAACGUGUUGGGUUUGGACUCUUUGUUUCCUUGCUUUAGAAACGACGUGGUAACUUGACAGAGGAUGUUGUGGAGGCUUGGACCUGAUCUCCAAUCACCUUUGUUAAGUUAUCACUCUUCCCAUAUGCAAUCAGCCCUUGAAGUUGGUGUUGCCUCAAAUUCUGAAUGCAGUUGAACCUUCCCUUGCUGAUCUUGUCCAUUAUUCCUGAGCAACACCAAAGUGCACGUGUCUCCAUUGUCUAAAUAUGAUUGACAAGAGUUUAAAGCUGAACUUACUUGAAGGUUGAGUUGACGGGCACGAGCACGAGUAAGAGGACCAGCUAUAGGUUGUGUCGGAGAGGAUGUAGGAUAUGUAUCGCUGGUGGAUGUAGGAUAUGUAUCGCUGGUGUUGAUGUCCUCAUCAAUAUGGAAUCUCACUUUGGUCCGUUUAGAGAUAGUAUUAGUUUCGGUGCAAGAUAGGUGCAUGGUCUGCACCUAAUGCACCAUAGGAUAAGAAACCAUUUUGGACGCACCCGAGGGUACUCCUAGGUCAUGGGGCUCAAGUGAAAGCUCGGUUUGGUCUGUUUGGAGAUAGUUCUAAUUUUGAUGCAAGAUAGAUGUACGGUUUGCAUGGUACAUACGAUAUGCUCAGAAAUCAAUUAGGACACACCUGAUAUAACUCCUUGAUGAUGUGUGUCAUAUGGAAUCUUGCUUCGGUUCGUUUAGAGAUAGUGUUAGUUUUGGUAGAAGAUAUGUGCACAGUUUACGCCUAAUGCACCAUAGGCUAAGAAACCAUUUUAGACGCACCCGAUGGUACUUAUAGUUGAAGAGGCUCAAGUGGAGGCUCGAUUUGGUCUGUUCAGAUAUAGUGCUGAUCUUGAUGCAAGAUAGUUGCAUAGUUUGCAUGGAACGUACCAUAUGUUAAGAAAUCAAUUUGGACGCACCCAAUGGAACUCUUAGAUGACGUGUGUCAUAUGGAAUCUCGCUUCGGUCUGUUUGGAGACAAUGUUAGUUUUGGUGCAAGAUAGGUGCAUUGUUUGUGCCUAAUGCACCAUAGACUGAGAAACCAUUUUGACACACCUGUUUGUACUCCUAGAUGAAGAGGCUCAAGUGGAUGCUCGGUUCGGUCUGUUUGGAGAUAGUGCUAAUCUUGAUGCAAGAUAGGUGCACGCUUUGCAUGGAACAUACCAUACGCUUGGAAAUCAAUUUGGAUGCACCCGAUGGAACUCCUUGAUGACGUGUGUCAUAUAGAAUCUUGCUUUGGUCUGUUUAGAAACAGUGUUAGUUUUGGUGCAAGAUAUGUGCAUGGUUUGCGCCUAAUGCACCAUAGUCUAAGAAACCAUUUUGGAAGCACCUGUUGGUACUUCGAUGAAUAGGCUCAAUUGGAAGCUCGGUUUAAUCUGUUUGGAGAAAGUGCUAAUCUUAAGAUAGGUGCAUGAUUUGCAAGGAACAUAUCAUAUGCUUAGAAAUCCAUUUGGACGCACCCAAUGGAACUCCAAGACGACGUGUGUCAUAUGGAAUAUCGCUUUGGUCUGGUCAGAAACAUUGUAUGUUUCGGUGCAAGAUAUGUGCAUGGUUUGCGCCUAAUGCACCAUAGUCUAAGAACCAUUUUGGAAGCACUAAUUGGUACUCCUGGGUGAAGAGGCUCAAGUGGAAGCUUGGUUUGAUCUGUUUUGAGAUAGUGCUAAUCUUGAUGCAAGAUAGGUGCAUGAUUUGCAAGAAACAUACCAUAUGCUUAGAAAUCAAUUUGGACGCACCCAAUGGAACUCCUUGAUGACGUGUGUCAUAUGGAAUCUUGCUUCGAUCUGUUUGUAGACAUUGUUAGUUUUGAUGCAAGAUAGUUGCACAGUUUGCGCCUAAUGCACCAUAUUCUAAGAAACCAUUUUGGACUCACUAUUUGGUACUCCUGGGUGAAGAGGCUUAAGUGGAAGCUUGGUUUGGUUAGUUUGGAGAUAGUGCUAAUCCUUAUGCAAGGUAGGUGCAUGGUUUGCAUGGAACAUAAAAUAUGCUUGGAAAUCAAUUUGGAUGCACCCGAUGGAACUCCUUGAUGACGUGUGUUAUAUGGAAUCUUGCUUCGGUCCAUUUGGAGACAUUGUUAGUUUCGAUGCAAGAUAGGUGCAUAGUUUGCACCUAAUGCGCCAUAGUCUAAGAAACCAUUUUGGACGCACUUGUUGGUACUCCUAGGUGAAGGGGCUCAAGUGGAUGCUCGGUUCGGUCUGUUUGGAGAUAGUGCUAAUCUUGAUGCAAGAUAGGUGCACGGUUUGCAUGGAACAUACCAAAUGCUUGGAAAUCAAUCUGGACGAACAUGAUGGAACUCCUAGAUGACAUCGGUCAGUUUGGAGAUAGUGUUAGUUUCAGUGCAAGAUAGGUGCAAGGUUUGCACAUAAUGCAGCAUAGGCUAAGAAACCAUUUUGGAUGCACCCGAUGGUACACCUAGGUAAAAGGCUCAAGUGAAAGCUCGGUUUGGUCUAUUUGGAGAUAGUGCUAAUCUUGAUGCAAGAUAGAUGCACGGACGGCAUGGAACGUACCAUAUGCUUAGAAAUUAAUUUGGACACACCCGAUAGAACUCCUUGAUGACGUGUGUCAUAUGGAAUCUCGCUUUGGUGUGCUUAGUGACAGUAUUAGUUUCGGUGCAAGAUAUGUGCACGGUUUGCGCCUAAUGCACCAAAGCCUAAGAAACCAUUUUGUAAGCACCUGUUGGUACUCCUAGGUGAAGAGGCCCAAGUGGAGCCUCGGUUCGGUCUGUUUAGAGAUAGUGCUAAUCUUGAUGCAUGAUAGGUGCAUGAUUUGCAUGGAACAUACCAUAUGCUCAGAAAUCAAUUUGGACGCACCAGAUGGAACUCUUAGAAGACAUGUGUCAUAUGGAAUCUCACUUCGGUCCGUUUUGAGACAGUGUGAGUUUCGGCACAAGAUAGGUGCACGGUUUGCACCUAAUGCACCAUAGGAUAAGAAACCAUUUUGGACGCACCCGAUGGUACUCCUAGGUCAAGGUGCCCAAGUGAAAGCUUGGUUUGGUCUGUUUGGAGAUAGUGCUAAUCUUGAUGCAAGAUAGAUGCAUGGUUUGCAUGGAACAUACGAUAUGCUCAGAAAUCAAUUAGGACUCACCUGAUAUACCUCCUUCAUGAUGUGUGUCAUAUGGAAUCUUGCUUCGGUUCGUUUAGAGACAGUGUUAGUUUUGGUAGAAGGUAUGUGCACGGUUUACGCGUAAUGCACCAUAGGCUAAGAAACCAUUUUAGACGCACUCGAUGGUACUCGUAGUUGAAGAGGCUCAAGUGGAGGCUCGAUUUGGUCUGUUCAGAUAUAGUGCAAAUCUUGAUGUAAGAUAGUUGCACAGUUUGCAUGGAACGUACCAUAUGUUAAGAAAUCAAUUUGGCCGCACCCAAUGGAACUCCUUGAUGACGUGUGUCAUAUGGAAUCUCGCUUCGGUCUGUUUGGAGACAAUGUUAGUUUCGGUGCAAGAUAGGUGCAUAGUUUGUGCCUAAUGCACCGUAGUCUAAGAAACCAAUUUUGACGCACCUUGUCGGUGUUUUACCCCUAGGGGGGUCACACCAAUGAGUAAACUUGUGUGCGUGUUCCCUUUCCCAAAUGGUGAUGCAAGAAAUACACAGAGAUUUGUCCUGGUUCGGGCAAGAGAAGGCCCUACGUCCAGCGGGUGGGGGAUGUUUUCUAUUAUCUUGCACCUAAGUGCUUGUACAGGGGCGAAUACCGGUAUUGUGGUGGAUUCUAAGUCCUAGGUGGAGGCGAUGUAUGGUUGUUCUUCUACGUAUGUUGUGUCUUUCAUCCUUUCCUAUGCCUCCUCUUUUAUAGUUCCAAGGGGAGACCUAGGUUACAUGGCGUAGGUGAUAGAGUAGGGGUCGAUAGGGGCAUGGUGCGCUGACCUACUCGAGGCUUCCGUACCGGCGUGGCCUCGAGCUGUCUUGUUACUUGGUACUUUGGUGAUGAUUGCGCAUGCUUCUGCAUUCGACUCCUGUGCGUUGCCUUGGAUUGGCUUAACCGUGGGCACGCCUGUACAUCGUGGCUGCAGUCGCGUCCAGAGUGGUUGAGGUGCUGUCUUUCACCGCCUGACUCUUCUUUUGGAAGGAACGUGUUCGCUCGAGGGUCCGACGCCAUGCAAGGCCUUGCUGAUUGGUGCGCUAACUUUGGGCGCCUCGAGGGGGGUCGUGGUGUGACGUCCCGACUGUCUCACUGUGCUCGGCCGUACUCUAGCUCAUCUGGGGGACAAAGCUACAAAAAGGGGGAUUGGACAGGUGCUUGCUCCCAGUCACAUUUCCCGUGACUGUCGGGUUAGGUGAGAACACGGCAGGCGCAUUAAAUGUCCUGGUUCCUGUACCCGCGUUAGGCGGCGGACGGCAUCCUUGCGCUCGAGGCCUGUCGAUUCGUUCGAGCCGCUUCCGUAUUCGACGGUCGCUGUCUAGUCGAGCCUCUAUCGAUUCGCCCGACCCUUUUUUCGUGUUCGAGGCUAUGGUUGGCAUCGCGCUUUGGUAGUCGCGUGUGCGAGCGGGGGCGUUGAGUCAGGGGCCUCGAUUUGCGUACGGGUCCUCUCGUUAUGAGCAUUGGUUGGGGUACCCCUUAUUGACACCCUCGAUAGUAGCCCCUGAGUCUCUACUCGAGCGCUUGCGCUCGAGUAGAGGCUCUUUCGUCGGUCGAGUUUCCAUGGGGUCAUGCGAGCGACCCCCGCGGGGGUAACUCCCGAGCCCUUGGAGGAGUCUUGACUCCUUCAAGGGUUAUGUUGCUUUUUCUAAUGGAAGCGCUCUCGAUCUCCCCCUUCUCCGAAAGUCGUUCGCCAUGGAAGAGGGGCUUUGAGCCUCGAUUGGCUGGUUUCGCAUUGGAGUCAUGACGUACUCCUGGCGGAGCGAGAGUCACCUACCCCAGGUCGAGCUCCUAUCGAGUAAUCCAAGUGAGAACCUGUGCCCCGUUCGAGCCGAGAACCUGUGUCAGCUAUAGCCUGGAGGCAUUCUCAUAAAGCGGGGUCAACGCGAUCGGGGUUACUGGUCUCGUUCGAUAGAGUCCAGCGGCUCGCUGCCUCCCUCCAUGGGGAUUCCUCUCGACCCUCUUGCCCUUGCCUUGGACAUCCCCAGCGAGUUCUCGAGGCAGGCCUCGUUUUUGACCUCUCGCUGGGCAUCCCUGACUCUAGUACUCGAGGACGACCGUCAACGCAUUCAGCGGGCCAGUCUGCGAUCCCUCAAGAUUUUUAUCGUGACACGUACGUACCUUAUCUUACAGGGGAAGGAAGGGCCGCGGCGGUUCACUUUCCUGCCCGUUGGGCGCGCCUUUUUAGGCGGGAGCCGUUGCAGCACUGUGUCGUCGUGGAAUUCGUAGCGCCCUGUCAGUGAGAGCAAUCAUGACCGUUAGGCGGCGCAUUUACUAGGGAGGUUACCGUAUUAGCCGGAUCUGCCUGUUGGAGGUUGGCCAUCUAUAAAUAUUGUCGGGUCUCUCAGCCAUUACUCCUUCCGCCUUCCGCCAUCGUUCUUGCCCUUGCUUCCCUUGCCAUCUUCACGCGCGCGUGCACCCUCGAGCACAUAGCAGCGGAGCCGCCUUCCUUCAUCCCUCAAAAUGCCGGUGAGGCUUGUUGCCGCCGAUGACUGGCGCCCAUUGUCGAUGACGGAGCACCGGCUGCUGGAGCUUGAGAAGGAGGGACUCCUGCGCCCCCACGUUUCCUCGUCGCGGCCGGAGUGGAUCGCACCGGCGGCGGACCACCGGGAGCCGAGACCGCCCAAGGGGUACGUGGUCUCCUUGGCCAAGUUCCAUCGCCACGGCCUCGGUUCUCCUCCAAGCCGCUUCAUGUGGGCGCUCUGCCACCAUUACGGUGUGGAGCUCCAGCAUUUCUCGCCGAACGCCAUCACCACCACGGCGAUUUUUGCUGCGGUGUGUGAAGGCUAUCUGGGGAUGAUGCCACACUGGGACCUGUGGCUUCACCUGUACCGGGGCGAGCUCUUCCAUGCCCCUAGUAGGGCUACAGGGGUGAGGAAACCGGUGCGGGCCGGCUGCCUCAACCUGGUGCAAAAGACUAGCAAGGCAGAGGAGCCUCGAGAGUACAUUCCGGUGGGGCUGACGUCGAACCACGCCUAGUGGGACUCCCAGUGGUUCUAUGUGCGAAACGACGACGACCUCUUCCCCGACUACAUCGGGCGCUUGAUCUCGGAGCGUCCGGACCACUAGAACUACGACAUCGUCAAGACCCUCCAGUCGCGGCUCCGCCCCAUCCUCGACGCCCUGAAGAAGCUGUGCGAGGAAGGUCUGACCGCCGUGUUCGUCCUUUCAGCUGUCCACCAUCGACGGGUACUCCCAUUGAUGUAUCGACCGCUGAGGAUGGACGAGAUGGGUCCCGGCGUUUCGUCUCACGACCUCGAGGCAUGCCGGAUGUCCAACGAGGCGCCCGCGGACGACGAGGUCACCGCCAAAGUCAGGGCGGCCGUCGCAGGCGAUUUUUAGCCUGAGCGCGUCAAUGGCUUCCCCAUGAGACCUGACGAGGGGUCGAUCGACCUGGUAAGUCCUUCCUCUUGCCGUCGCUCAAUUCUUGGGUUUUUCGAUCCUCCUUAGGACUUACUCGUGCCUGUACAGGGACCAAUUGACGCUCAGUCCUCGAGGCCUCCGGUAAUGGAGGAUGACGUCGAUCGCGAUAGGAGACGCGAGUCCGCGGAGAAACAAAAGUCCGCAAAGGACUUAGAAAAGAAGAAGGAGAAGAAAAAGAAUCUCGAGCGACAAGUGCUCGAGAAACGCCGUGCGAAAUCGAGGCAAAAGGGGGAGUCCGAGGAGGAAUCUCGUAAUGAGGACGACGGCAAUGAGGGCGACGACGAUAGCGACGACUCCGAGGGGAUGGCGGCUCGUUUCGACAGAAUCCUCGAGGGCCCGCCGCAAGCCGACGUCGACGUCCCGCGGACAGGAGCUCCUAAGAGGGCGUCGGGCGGGUCCCACGACAGUCAGCAGAGGGAGUCCUCACCACGCCGUUCUCGUGCCGACACUCCUCCUGUGCCCGCGCAGGGUUGUGCCGUUUCUCAGCCGCAACCUCCUCCCGCGUAUGGGGCGGGCCACCGGGUUAAGUCUAUGGCGAUGGGGCCAUUGAGCCACGGCCGUGCCGCCGUGGCGGCCUCAAGCCAGAGGGAAGGAGGUCGUGGCAGCUCCAGCCCCGGUGCUCGCCAGGCGGGAGAUGUCGAGCCGAGGCCUACGCCUGCUUAGGAGAAGCCCGGGGUCUCGACGUGGGGCGGCUCGAGGCUAGUUGGUCGAGGGACUGGCAGGCGGGUCGUUCUUCCUAUGGGGUAAGGGUUUUACGUUGCGAUUCUUGUUUUCCGAUGUCUUGCGCCCUCUCUGGUUUCGGCUUUUCUUAUGUUAUUCCCCAUUUCCUUAGGUUGAAGCGGCCGCUAGAACAGGCCUAACCCUCGAUGGCCAAGAAGCUAAAGGUGGGGGCGGUUACUAGAGGCUCAGGUUAGUGAUUUAUUCUUCUUCCCGUAGUACUGGAGUUGAGCCAUCCCUGUGUCGAACUCCUUUGUGACUAACGUAUUGUCUUUGGACGCACUCAGGUUCCUCCGAUCCUCGACCGUCGACGGAUGUUGAAGGAACCCCGCCUCGUCCGUCAGAGGGGGCGACGUUUCUAACACUGCCCCGUUGUCACCAAGGCGGGUCGAGAGGCCUCAUCUUCAAGAGCAGGAGGGAGCCCCCAAGCCUCCUCAGCCUGGGGGCGUGCGGGGCCCCAUCACCAUCAACGACAGAUCCGGUGGUGAUCGACUCUCGAAGGAUGCCCGCACCGCGGAUGAAGAGGUCGAGGUCUCUCCUGUCGCGAAAUGGAUGCCUUGGCCCAUCGAGCUUCACUCCGUCGAGGAGAGGAGGAAGAAAGAAGAAGAAGAGCGUAAGGGAGGGGAGGAAGAAGAAGAAAAACAACAGCGAUGGCAACAGGGAGAGCGGCUCGAGGAGCAGUUGGAGCAAUGCCGGCAGCAAGAGCUGCUGGAGCUUCAGAGGCAGCAGAAGCUGUGGAGUUAGCAGCUGGAAGAGCUGCUCGAACAGCCACCACAAAGCCCGCGCCAGCCAGUAUUGCCAUCGCCGCAAGGGCCCGAGACCAGAGAGGAAGGACUACGGAUCUAUGAUCCGCCGACCCCUGCGUGGCUCCGUCCAGGGGGGCCAGCCUCUAUUCUGGCUGAACCUGGGCGGAAGGAUGGCGUCGUGGCCAUCGUGUGUGCUAUGCGCACGCCGGCGGACCCCCAAUCCGAAAUCAAGGGCUCCCUCUAUGGCAUCGAUGGGAUCGCCCUGGGGUUCCUUCGAGAUCGGCGGCCGUGGGAGGAACCCAAUGCCGAGGACGGGGACGACGCUGGCACUUCUGGCGGUGGUGACGCCAAUGAGACCGGGACUUGGGGGUCGGUGCAUGACGACAGGCGGUUCCCUUCUCUUAUCGACAUAUUCCUACGCCACGGAGGUUCGCUCGAGACCGUUCAAGAGCUUAUCCGAGGCGUCAAGGCAUGUACAGAGGAGGAGAUGGAGAACUGGGGCCCCAGUCGGAUUCAUCUUCGAGCCUCCAUCGACCCAGAGGAGCCCAACAUCAUGAAAGAUGACCGGAAAGAGGCCAAAAAGUGGGAGCAUCUCGAGGAGCUCCGGCUUUGGAUGAAGCACGUGAUGGGCCUAAUGUCGGAUAUUGUCAACAACGGGCUCGGCUGAGCUUUCUCUGUAAGUAUUUUCGGUCCUUAGCUAUCUGGGUAUUUGGUCUUGUAUUCUUAUUGUUUAGCUACUUGCUGCAGGACCUGAAGGAGACCCCCGCCUAAAGUCGGGUUUUAUUCACGCGACAAGAGGCGGUUGGGAACAGCUCCCUCUUCUCAAGGACCAACUCCUGGAGUCGCAGGAGAAGCUUCUCUAGGCCUACAAGGACCUUAUGGCAGGUGAGGAGGAGAGGAAGGAGAGGAAGGCUGCGCUGGCCAAGGCUCGGGAGGCCUCGGAGAAGGAAAUAGAAGAGGCCGUGCAGCUGAGGGCGCGGACCACGUCGGCUGAGGAGACUGCGUCCAAGGCCCGGGAAGAGGCCGCGUAUUACAAAGAUGCGGUCGCUGAGCUCGAUAAGGAGAUGAGCCUUGUCAAGUCGGAACUUGCCUCUGCCCAGGAGGCCUAUCGAGAGAUAAAGGAGGAGUGCGUGAAGAGCGAGAUCGCUCGGAGCACCGCGGAGGAGGCUGGGAAGAAGGCCCGUGAGGACCUCGAGGCAGAGCGAGCUCGCUCUCGCAGCCUUUCUAACAAUGUCGAUCGCUUGAAGAGAGCGCUGCUGGAGAAGGAGGGAGCCGUCUUACAAGCGAGUAAGAUGAUCGAGGACUUGCGGGCCGCAAACACUGAUCUGGCUCGUUCUUAUAAGGAGAUCAAGAGGGCCAACACUGAUUUAGUCGGUGAGAACACGGCCCUCAAAGAAAGGAUCUGUGGUAGGUUUCUUUAUACUUGCGUGUUUCUUUUGCAAGGUAUAUCCUUUAUGUUGCUUAACUUUCUUGUGUCGGUGUUUGUAGGGCUUAAGGAUGAUCUCCUGGCCACCCAAGUUGAGGCCCGUUCCACCAAGGCUCAGCUCAAGGGGGAGGUAGCUUUGAAUGGUCGACUAAGGACUGCGAUAAGCGACCUUUCGGCCUCCUGGGAGCUCGAGCCUGUGGAUGACUCGAGGGAGGUUGCUCGAGGCGAUGCGCUGGUCGACUAGCUGUGCUACUUAGGUUCUACGCUGAGGGAUCGGGUGCGGGACACCCUUCAUACCGGGGUGAAGCGAGUGAGGAUCGGGUGCGGGACGCCCUUCAUCCCGCACCAGGUCCUUGCAGGCGGUGCCUGAGACAAAGGCCAGAAUGACAUCGUGGUCGGGGAUGUGCGGGAGCUCAGUGCGCUGCUUUGAGAAGCAUCGAGCAUACUCUCAGAGAGUUUCUCUUGAUUUUUGCUUGCACUUGCUGAGGUCCCAUGAAUUGCCAGGACGUAUGUAGGUUCCUUUAAAGUUGCCCUCGAACACCCUGACCAAAUCGGUCCAGUCGUGGAUCUGGUUGGCAGGGAGUUCCUCGAGCCAUCUGCGAGCGGUGUCGGAUAGAAAAAGCGGUAACUGGCGGAUGAUGGCUCGAUUGUGUCCUCGAGCGCCUCCUAACUGGCAUGCUAGCCAAAAGUCUACUAGCCACAGCUCUGGCUUGGUUUCGCUGUUGCGAUGCUGGUCGGGGAUCGAAACGGACUGGGCAACGGCGUGCUGCGGAUUGCUCUGCUGAAAACUCGAGGGCCUAAUGGCUUUGGAGCCAUUCGGUCCUUGUCACUGUUGUAUCGUCCACCGCGGUGGGCGCUAUAGCCUCGCUCCUCUGCAUCCCCAUGCCGGCGGCGGCGAUACUCAUUGAUGUCAUGUCGAGCGUCAUGUCGCCAUUGAUUAUCGACGAGGCGCUCUUGGAAGGGCACAGUCUUUCUUCCUCGAGGGGGUGGUCCUUGAUGGACCGACACUUCCUUCUCAUCUCGGGCUGGCUCGACGUGUUUCUCUGUGGCUGCCCCUCGACGCCGAGAAGCCGAGCUUUCGGCUUGUUGGGCUGCCGCCACUUGGAGCAGAGUCUGCACCUUGUCUCGAAUGCACCGCGCCUGGGAGUUGGAAGGUUCAGGCAUGCUACGCAAUAGCAUGGUUGCUGCCAUGACAUUCUGGCCCGCUCGUGGGAAGCGGCUGACAGGUGGCUCUGGCUCCUCGUCCCCGACGAUUUGACGGUACACCUCUCGAGCGCGACCGCGCGCGCCUUUGGCGUGCGGGUGCGGUUGGUCUCGCUCGAGGGCCUGCUCGAGCUGAGCAAGGCGCUCGCGGUCUUCGUCGAGCUUGGCUUUGAGCUCCCGUAAUUGUGCGAGCUGCGCAGCUUUGUCGUCCUACGCCGGAGGGUCGACCCGCCCAUCGUUCCCAGGUGUCCUGGGAUCUUCUCUUGCUACGGGGGCUCGGCCACCGGCAACGGCAUCUUGCGUUUCAUCAGUGGUGCCACUUCACCAUCGAUGUUGUAGCAUUCCCUUGUAGGGUCGUAACUAUCAGAUUCGGAGUCGGGGUCUGGUUCUGCGGCGUAGAAACACCCACGCCCCUCCUCCGCCAUCCGCUGUCUGAGCGAGGUGAUGGUAUAUCGCCUAGGUCCUAGACGUUGGAGGCUCCGCACCUGGGAAAAUUCCGGCAGUUCAGCUGCUCGCUGUUGUGCCUCGGCGUCGCUCGGGAGGACCAUUGGUCUUUCCACAUACGUCUGGGCGUCCGGGCAUAUCGUUCUGGCUAGGGACGCUGUGGCAUUGUCCAGACCGAAUGGUGUGUUCCCCUAGAGGCGAACAAUCCGUGCGGUAGCAGCGUUGUCGAGGGGGAGAGCACGCGAGUCGCGUCAUCUCCCAACGUUGUUGCGGGGCUGUCCAGACGCCGGGCCGCCGUAUUUGUAGCCUCGGCGUGCGGGGCUGCCGGCUGCUGCGCCACCGCUCGCUUGGCAUAGGUUGAUGACCGCGACGCAGCAGAAGGGUGGUGACGGUGCUGUCCACGCCUCUUCUUGGGCGGGGAGGCGUGGUGGCGAGGCCGUCUUGGGGCCUUCGAUUGUGCUGGUGCAACGCUAGUUCCUCCUGGUCCUUUGACCGAGAGCAGGAUCAUGUCGUAGCCGGUACCGGUGGACAUGAACUCGAGGCUCCCAAACCAAAUCACCGUGGAGCGCGGGAUCGGCGAAAUGAGAGUGGCCAUUCUAGAAUGAGAUGGGGAGUCGGUGAAAAACACGCAGGACCCCUACCUGGUGCGCCAACUGUCGGUGUUUUACCUCUAGGAGGUCACACCAACGAGUAAACUUGUGUGCAUGUUCCCUUUCCCAGAUGAUGAUGCAAGAAAUACACACAGAUUUAUCCUGGUUCGGGCAAGAGAAGGCCCUACGUCCAGCGGGAGGGAUGUUUUCUAUUAUCUUGCACCUAAGUGCUUGUACAGGGGUGAAUACAAGUCGGUAUUGUGGUGGAUUCUAAGUCCUAGGUAGAGGUGAUGUAUGGUUGUUCUUCUCCGUAUGUCCUGUCUUUCAUCCUUUCCUAUGCCUCCCCUUUUAUAGUUCCAAGGGGAGACCUAGGUUACAUGGCGUAGGUGAUAGAGUAGGGGUCGAUAGGGGCGUGGUGCGCUGACCUACUCGAGGCUUCCGUGCCGGCGUGGCCUCGAGCUGUCUUGUUACUUGGUACUUUGGUGAUGAUUGUGCAUGCUUCUGCAUUCGACUCCUGUGUGUUGCCUUGGAUUGGCUUAACCGUGGGCACGCCUGUACGUCGUGGCUGCAGUCGCGUCCAGAGUGGUUGAGGUGUUGUCUUUCACCGCCUGACUCUUCUUUGGGAAGGAACGUGUUCGCUCGAGGGUCCGACGCCACGCAAGGCCGUGCUGAUCGGUGCGCUGACUUUGGGCGCCUCGAGGGGGGUCGUGACGUGACGUCCCGUCUGUCUCACUGUGCUCGGCCGUACUCUGGCUCAUUUGGGGGACAAAGCUGCAAAAAGGGGGAUUGGAUGGGUGCUUGCUCCCAGUCACAUUUCCCGUGACUGUCGGGUUAGGUGAGAACACGGUAGGCGCAUUAAAUGCCCUGGUUUCCGUACCCACGUCAGGGCGCAGAUGGCGUCCUUGCGCUCGAGCCUUUGUCGAUUCACACGACCCUUUUUCUGUGUUCGAGGCUAUGGUUGCAUCGCGCUUUGGUAGUCGCGUGUGCGAGCGGGGGCGUCGAGUCAGGGGCCUUGAUUUGCUUACGGGUCCUCUCAUUAUGAGCAUUGGUUGGGGUACCCCUUAUUGACACCCUCGACACACCUGCUUGUACUCCUAGGUAAAAGGCUCAAGUGAAAGCUCCGUUUGGUCUAUUUAGAGAUAGUGCUAAUCUUGAGGAAAGAUAGAUGCACGGUCUGCAUGGAACAUACCAUAUUCUUAGAAAUUAUUUUGGACACACCCGAUAGAACUCCUUGAUGACGUGUGUCAUAUGGAAUCUCACUUUGGUGUGCUUAGAGACAGUAUUAGUUUCGGUGCAAGAUAUGUGCACGGUUUGCGCCUAAUGCACCAAAGUCUAAGAAACCAUUUUGGAAGCACCUGUUGUAACUCCUAGGUGAAGAGGCUCAAGUGGAGGCUCGGUUCGGUCUGUUUAGAGAUAGUGCUAAUCUUGAUGCAAUAUAGGUGCAUGAUUUGCAUGGAACAUACCAUAUGCUCAGAAAUCAAUUUGGACGCACUAGAUGGAACUCCUAGAUGACAUGUGUCAUAUGGAAUCUCACUUUGGUCCGUUUAGAGAGUGUUAGUUUCGGUGCAAGAUAGGUGCACGGUUUCCACCUAAUGCACCAUAGGAUAAGAAACAAUUUUGGAGGCACCUGAUGGUACUCCUAGGUCAAGGGGCUCAAGGGAGAGCUCGGUUUGGUCUGUUUGGAGAUAGUGCUAAUCUUGAUGCAAGAUAGAUGCACGGUUUGCAUGGAACAUACGAUAUGCUCAGAAAUCAAUUAGGACGCACCUGAUGUAACUCCUUGAUGAAGUGUGUCAUAUGGAAUCUUGCAUCGGUUCGUUUAGAGACAGUGUUAGUUUUGGUAGAAGAUAUGUGCACGGUUUACGCCUAAUGCACCAUAGGCUAAGAAACCAUUUUAGACGCACCCGAUGGUACUUGUAGUUGAAGAGGCUCAAGCGGAGGCUCGAUUUUGUCUAUUCGGAUAUAGUGCUAAUCUUGAUGCAAGAUAGUUGCACAUUUUGCAUGGAACGUACCAUAUGUUAAUAAAUCAAUUUAGACACACCUAAUGGAACUCGUAGAUGACGUAUGUCAUAUGGAAUCUCGCUUCGGUCUGUAUGGAGACAAUGUUAGUUUUGAUGGAAGAUAGGUGCAUAGUUUGUGCCUAAUGCACCAAAGUCUAAGAAUCCAUUUUUGACGCACCUGUUUGUACUCCUAGAUGAAGAGGCUGAAGUGGAAGCUCGGUUCGGUCUAUUUAGAGAUAGUGCUAAUGUUGAUGCAAGAUAGGUGCACGGUUUGCAUGGAACAUAACAUAUGCUUGGAAUUCAAUUUGGAUGCACCCGAUGGAACUCCUUGAUGACGUGUGCCAUAUGGAAUCUCGCUUUGGUCUGUUUAGAAAUAGUGUUAGUUUCGAUGCAAGAUACGUGCAUGGUUUGCGCCUAAUGCACCAUAGUCUAAGAAACCAUUUUGGAAGCACCUGUAGGUACUUCGGUGAAGAGGCUCAAGUGGAAGCUCGGUUUGAUCUGUUUGGAGAUAGUGCUAAUCUUGAUGCAAGAUAGGUGCAUGAUUUGCAUGGAACAUACCAUAUGCUUAGAAAUCAAUUUGGACGCACCCAAUGGAACUCCUUGAUGACGUGUGUCAUAUGGAAUCUCGCUUCGGUACAUUUGGAGACAUUGUUAGUUUUAGUGCAAGAUAGGUGCACAGUUUGCACCUAAUGCACCAUAGUCUAUGAAACCAUUUUGGACGCACUUGUUGGUACUCCUAGGUGAAGGGGCUCAAGUGGAUGCUAGCCGGUUCGGUCUAUUUGGAGAUAGUGCUAAUCUUGAUCCAAGAUAGGUGCACGGUUUUCAUGGGAACAUACCAAAUGCUUGGAAAUCAAUCUAGACACACACGAUGGAACUCCUAGAUGACAUGUGUCAUACGAAAUCUUGCUUCGGUCUGUUUGGAGACAGUGUUAGUUUUGGUGCAAGAUAGGUGCAAGGUUUGCACAUAAUGCAGCAUAGGCUAAGAAACCAUUUUGGACGCAUCCGAUGGUACUCCUAGGUAAAAGGCUCAAGUGAAAGCUCAGUUUGGUCUAUUUGGAGAUAGUGCUAAUCUUGAUGCAAGAUAGAUGCACGGUCUGCAUGGAACGUACCAUAUUCUUAGAAAUUAAUUUGGACACACCCGAUAGAACUCCUUGAUGACGUGUGUCAUAUGGAAUCUCGCUUUGGUGUGCUUAGAGACAGUAUUAGUUUCGGUACAAGAUAUGUGCAUGGUUUGCGCCUAAUGCACCAAAUUCUAAGAAACUAUUUUGGAAGCACCUGUUGUAACUCCUAGGUGAAGAGGCUCAAGUGGAGGCUCGGUUCGGUCUGUUUAGAGAUAGUGCUAAUCUUGAUGCAAUAUAGGUGCACGAUUUGCAUGGAACAUACCAUAUGCUCAGAAAUCAAUUGGGACGCACUAGAUGGAACUCCUAGAUGACAUGUGUCAUAUGGAAUCUCACUUCGGUCUGUUUAGAGAGUGUUAGUUUCGGUGCAAGAUAGGUGCACGGUUUCCACCUAAUGCACCAUAGGAUAAGAAACAAUUUUGGAGGCACCUGAUGGUACUCCUAGGUCAAGGGGCUCAAGUGAGAGCUCGGUUUGGUCUAUUUGGAGAUAGUGCUAAUCUUGAUGCAAGAUAGAUGCACGGUUUGCAUGGAACAUACGAUAUGCUCAGAAAUCAAUUAGGACGCACCUGAUGUAACUCCUUGAUGAUGUGUGUCAUAUGGAAUCUUCCUUCGGUUCGUUUAGAGACUGUGUUAGUUUUGGUAGAAGAUAUGCGCACGGUUUACGCCUAAUGCACCAUAGGCUAAGAAACCAUUUUAGACGCACCCGAUGGUACUCGUAGUUGAAGAGGCUCAAGUGGAGGCUCAAUUUGGUCUGUUCAGAUAUAGUGGUAAUCUUGAUGCAAGAUAGUUGCACAGUUUGCAUGGAACAUACCAUAUGUUAUGAAAUCAAUUUGGACGCACCCAAUGGAACUCUUAGAUGACGUGUCAUAUGGAAUCUCGCUUCGGUCUGUUUGGAGACAAUGUUAGUUUUGGUGCAAGAUAGGUGCAUAAUUUGUGCCUAAUGCACCAUAGUCUAAGAAACCAUUUUUGACACACCUGUUUGUACUCCUAGAUGAAGAGGCUGAAGUGGAAGCUCGGUUCAGUCUGUUUGGAGAUAGUGCUAAGCUUGAUGCAAGAUAGGUGCACAGUUUGCAUGGAACAUGCCAUAUGCUUGGAAAUCAAUUUGGAUGCACCUGAUGGAACUCCUUGACGACGUGUGUCACAUGGAAUCUCGCUUCGGUCCAUUUAGAAACAGUGUUAGUUUUGCUGCAAGAUAUGUGCUUGGUUUGCGCCUAAUGCACCAUAGUCUAAGAAACCAUUUUGGAUGCACCUGUUGGUACUUCAGUGAAUAGGCUCAAGUGGAAUCUCGGUUUGAUCUGUUUGGAGAUAUUGCUAAUCUUGAUGCAAGAUAGGUGCAUGAUUUGCAAGGAACAUUCCAUAUGCUUAGAAAUCAAUUUGGACACACCGAAUGGAACUCCUAGAUGACGUGUGUCAUAUGGAAUCUUGCUUCGGUCCAUUUGUAGACAUUGUAAGUUUUAGUGCAAGAUAGGUGCACAGUUUGCGCCUAAUGCACCAUAGUCAAAGAAACCAUUUUGGACGCACUACUUAAUACUCCUAGGUGAAGAGGCUCAAGUGGAAGCUUGGUUCGGUCUGUUUGGAGAUAGUGCUAAUCCUUAUGCAAGGUAGGUGCAUGGUUUGCAUGGAAAAUACCAUAUGCUUAGAAGUCAAUUUGGAUGCACCCGAUGGAACUCCAUGAUGACAUGUGUCACAUGGAAUCUUGCUUCGGUCUAUUUGGAGACAUUGUUAGUUUCGGUGCAAGAUAGGUGCACAGUUUGCACCUAAUGCACCAUAGUCUAAGAAACCAUUUUGGACGCACUUGUUGGUACUCCUAGGUGAAGGGGCUCAAGUGGAUGCUCGGUUUUGUGUGUUUGGAGAUAGUGAUAAUCUUGAUGCAAGAUAGGUGCAUGGUUUGCAUCGAACAUACCAAUUGCUUGGAAAUCAAUCUGGACGCACAUGAUGGAACUCCUAGAUGACGUGUGCCAUAUGAAAUCUUGCUUCAAUCUGUUUGGAGAGAGUGUUAGUUUCGGUGCAAGAUAGGUGCAAGGUUUGCACAUAAUGUAGCAUGGGCUAAGAAACCAUUUUGGACACACACGAUGGUACUCCAAGGUAAAAGGCUCAAGUGAAAGCUCAGUUUGGUCUAUUUGGAGAUAGUGCUAAUCUUGAUGCAAGAUAGAUGCACGGUCUGCAUGGAACGUACCAUAUGCUUAGAAAUUAAUUUGGACACACCUGAUAGAAUUCCUUGAUGACGUGUGUCAGAUGGAAUCUCGCAUUGGUGUGCUUAGAGACAGUAUUAGUUUCGGUGCAAGAUAUGUGCACGGUUUGCAAGGAACAUACCAAAUGCUUGGAAAUCAAUCUAGACGCAGACGAUGGAACUCCUAGAUGACGUGUGUCAUACGAAAUCUUGCUUCGGUCUGUUUGGAAACAGUGUUAGUUUUGGUGCAAGGUUUGCACAUAAUGCAGCAUAGGCUAAAAACCCAUUUUGUACGCACCCGAUGGUACUCCUAGAUAAAGGGCUCAAGUGAAAGAUCGGUUUGGUCUAUUUGGAGAUAGUGCUAAUCUUGAUGCAAGAUAGAUGCACGGUCCGCAUGGAACGUACCAAAUGCUUAGAAAUUAAUUUGGACACACCCGAUAGAACUCCUUGAUGAUGUGUGUCACAUAGAAUCUUGCAUUGGUGUGCUUAGAGACAAUAUAGUUUCGGUGCAAGAUAUGUGCACGGUUUGCGUCUAAUGCACCAAAGUCUAAGAAACCAUUUUGGAAGCACCUGUUGAUACUCCUAGGUGAGAGGUUCAAGUGGAGGCUCGGUUCGGUCUGUGUUAGAGAUAGUGCUAAUCUUGAUGCAAGAUAGGUGCACGGUUUGCAUGGAACGUACCAUAUGCUUGGAAAUCAAUUUGGAUGCAACUGAUGGAGCUCCUUGAUGACGUGUGUCAUAUGGAAUCUCGCUUUGGUCUGUUUAGAAACAGUAUUAGUUUUUGUGCAAGAUAUGUGCAUGGUUUGCGCCUAAUGCACCAUAGUCUAAGAAACCAUUUUGGAUGCACCUAUUGGUACUUCGGUGAAGAUGCUCAAGUGGAAGCUCGGUUUGAUCUAUUUGGAGAUAGUGCUAAUCUUGAUGCAAGAUAGAUGCACGGUUUGCAUGGAAAAUGUGAUAUGCUCAGAAAUCAAAUAGGACGCACCUGAUAUAACUCCUUGAUGAUGUGCGUCAUAUGGAAUCUUGCUUCGGUUUGUUUAGAGACAAUGUUAGUUUUGGUAGAAGAUAUGUGCACAGUUUACGCCUAAUGCACCAUAGGCUAAGAAACCAUUUUAGACGCACCCGAUGGUACUCGUAGUUGAAGAGGCUCAAGUGGAGGCUCAAUUUGGUCUGUUUAGAUAGAGUGCUAAUCUUGAUGCAAGAUAGUUGCACAGUUUGCAUGGAACAUACCAUAUGUUAAGAAAUCAAUUUGGACGCACCCAAUGGAACUCCUAGAUGACAUGUCAUAUAGAAUCUCGUUGCGGUCUGUUUGGAGAUAAUGUUAGUUAUGGUGCAAGAUAGGUGCAUAGUUUGAGCCUAAUGCACCAUAGCCUAAGAAACCAUUUUUAACGCACCUGUUUGUACUCCUAGAUAAAGAGGCUCAAGUGGAAGCUCGGUUCGGUCUGUUUGGAGAUAGUGCUAAUCUUGAUGCAAGAUAGGUGCACGGUAUGCAUGGAACAUACCAUAUGCUUGGAAAUCAAUUUGGAUGCACCCGAUGGAACUGCUUGAUGACGUGUGUCAUAUGGAAUCUCGCUUUGGUCUGUUUAGAAUCAGUGUUAGUUUUUGUGCAAGAUAUGUGCAUGGUUUGCGCCUAAUGCACCAUAGUCUAAGAAACCAUUUUGGAUGCACCUAUUGGUACUUCGGUGAAGAUGCUCAAGUGGAAGCUCGGUUUGAUCUAUUUGGAGAUAGUGCUAAUCUUGAUGCAAGAUAGAUGCACGGUUUGCAUGGAACAUACGAUAUGCUCAGAAAUCAAUUAGGACACACCGGAUAUAACUCCUUGCAAGGAACGUACCAUAUGCUUAGAAAUCAAUUUGGACGCACCCAAUGGAACUCCUAGAUGACGUGUGUCAUAUGGAAUCUUGCUUCGGUCCGUUUGUAGACAUUGUAAGUUUUAGUGCAAGAUAGGUGCACAGUUUGCGCCUAAUGCACCAUAGUCUAAGAAACUAUUUUAGACGCACUAUUUGGUACUCCUGGGUGAAGAGGCUCAAGUGGAAGCUUGGUUCGGUCAGUUUGGAGAUAGUGCUAAUCCUUAUGCAAGGUAGGUUCAUGGUUUGCAUGGAACAUACCAUAUGCUUGGAAAUCAAUUUGGAUCCACCCGAUGGAACUCCUUGAUGAUGUGUGUCAUAUGGAAUCUCGCUUCGGUCCAUUUGGAGAAAUUGUUAGUUUCGGUGCAAGAUAGGUGCACAGUUUGCACCUAAUGCACCAUAGUCUAAGAAACCAUUUUGGACACACUUGUUGGUACUCCUAGGUGAAGGGGCUCAAGUGGAUGUUCGGUUCGGUCUGUUUGGAGAUAGUGCUAAUCUUGAUGCAAGAUAGGUGCACGGUUUGCAUGGAACAUACAAAAUGCUUGGAAAUCAAUCUGGACGCACAUGAUGGAACCCUAGAUGACGUGUGUCAUACAAAAUCUUGCUUCGGUCUGUUUGGAGACAUUGUUAGUUUCGGUGCAAGAUAGGUGCACAGUUUGCACCUAAUGCACCAUAGUCUAAGAAACCAUUUUGGAUGCACCUGUUGGUACUUCGGUGAAGAGGCUCAAAUGGAAACUCGGUUUGAUCUGUUUGGAGAUAGUGCUAAUCUUGAUGCAAGAUAUGUGCAUGAUUUGCAAGGAACAUACCAUAUGCUUAGAAAAUCAAUUUAUAUGCACCCAAUGGAACUCCUAGAUGACGUGUGUCAUAUGGAAUCUUGCUUCGGUCCAUUUGUAGACAUUGUAUGUUUUAGUGCAAGAUAGGUGCAAAGUUUCGCCUAAUGCACCGUAGUCUAAGAAACCAUUUUGGACGCACUAUUUGGUACUCCUGGGUGAAGAGGCUCAAGUGGAAGCUUGGUUUGGUUAAUUCGGAGAUAAUGCUAAUUCUUAUACAAGGUAGGUGCUUGGUUUGCAUGGAACAUUGGAAAUCAAUUUGGAUGCACCCGAUUGAACUCCUUGAUGACUUGUGUCAUAUGGAAUCUUGCUUCGGUCCAUUUGGAGACAUUGUUAGUUUUGGUGUAAGAUAGGUGCACAGUUUGCACCUAAUGGCACCAUAGUCUAAGAAACCAUUUUGUAUGCACUUGUUGGUACUCCUAGGUGAACGGGCUCAAGUGGAUGCUCGGUUUGGUCUGUAUGGAGAUAGUGCUAAUCUUGAUCCAUGAUAGGUGCACGGUUUGCAUGGAACAUACCAAAUGCUUGGAAAUCAAUCUGGACGCACAUGAUGGAACUCCUAGAUGACGUGUGUCAUACAAAAUCUUGCUUCGGUCUGUUUGGAGAUAGUGUUAGUUUCAGUGCAAGAUAGGUGCUAGGUUUGUACAUAAUGCAGCAUAGGCUAAGAAACCAUUUUGGACGCACCCGAUGGUACUCGUAGAUAAAAGGCUCAAGUGAAAGCUCGGUUUGGUCUAUUUGGAGAGAGUGCUAAUCUUGAUGCAAGAUAGAUGCACGGUCUGCAUGGAACAUACCAUAUGCUUAAAAAUUAAUUUGGACACACCCGAUAGAACUCCUUGAUGACGUGUGUCAUAUGGAACCUAGCUUUGGUGUGCUUAGAGACAGUAUUAGUUUUGGUGCAAGAUAUGUGCACGGUUUGCACCUAAUGCACCAAAGUCUAAGAAACCAUUUUGGAAGCACCUGUUGGUACUCCUAGGUGAAGAGGCUCAAGUGGAGGCUCGGUUCGGUCUGUUUAGAGAUAGUCCUAAUCUUGAUGCAAGAGAGGUGCACGAUUUGCAUGGAACAUACCAUAUGCUCAGAAAUCAAUUUUGACACACCAGAUGGAACUCCUAGAUGACAUGUGUCAUAUGGAAUCUCACUUCUUUCCGUUUAGAGACAGCGUUAGUUUCGGUGCAAGAUAGGUGCACGGUUUGCACCUAAUGCACCAUAGGAUAAGAAACCAUUUUGGACGCACCCGAUGGUACUCCUAGGUCAAGGGGCUCAAGUGAAAGCUCCGUUUCGUCUGUUUGGAGAUAGUGCUAAUCUUGAUGCAAGAUAGAUGCACGGUUUGCUUGGAACAUAUGAUAUGCUCAGAAAUCAAUUAGGACGCACCUGAUAUAACUCCUUGAUGAUGUGUUUCAUUUGGAAUCUUGCUUCGGUUCGUUUCUAGACUGUGUUAGUUUUGGUAGAAGAUAUGUGCACGGUUUACGCCUAAUGCACCAUAGGCUAUGAAACCAUUUUAGACGCACCCGAUGGUACUCAUAGUUGAAGAGGCUCAAGUGGAGGCUCGAUUUGGUCUGUUCAGAUAUAGUGCUAAUCUUGAUGCAAGAUAGUUGCACAGUUUGCAUGGAACGUACCAUAUGUUAAGAAAUCAAUUUGGACGCACCCAAUGGAACUCCUAGAUGAUGUGUGUCAUAUGGAAUCUCGCUUCGGUCUGUUUGGAGGUAAUGUUAGUUUCAGUGCAAGAUAGGUGCAUAGUUUGUGCCUAAUGCACCAUAGUCUUACCAUUUUUGACGCACCUGUUUGUACUACUAGAUGAAGAGGCUCAAGUGGAAGCUCGGUUCGGUCUGUUUGGAGAUAGUGCUAAUCUUGAUGCAAGAUAGGUGCACGGUAUGCAUGGAACAUACCAUAUGCUUGGAAAUCAAUUUGGAUGCACCCGGUGGAACUCCUUGAUGACGUGUGUCAUAUGGAAUCUCGCUUAGGUCUGUUUAGAAACAGUGUUAGUUUCGGUGCAAGAGAUGUUGGAAGCACCUGUUGGUACUUCGGUGAAGAGGCUCAAGUGGAAACUCGGUUUUAUCUGUUUGGAGAUAGUGCUAAUCUUGGUGCAAGAUAGGUGCAUGAUUUGCAUGGAACAUACCAUAUGCUUAGAAAUCAAUUUGGACGCACCCAAUGGAACUCCUAGAUGACAUGUGUCAUAUGGAAUCUUGCUUCGGUCCGUUUGUAGACAUUGUAAGUUUUAGUGCAAGAUAGGUGCACAAUUUGCGCCUAAUGCUCCAUAGUCUAAGAAACCAUUUUAGAUGCACUAUUUGGUACUCUUGGGUGAAGAGGCUCAAGUGGAAGCUUGGUUCGGUCAGUUUGGAGAUAGUUCUAAUCCUUAUGCAAGGUAGGUGCAUGGUUUGCAUGGGACAUACCAUAUGCUUGGAAAUCAAUUUGGAUGCUCCCGAUGGAACUCCUUGAUGAUGUGUGUCAUAUGGAAUCACGCUUUGGUCUAUUUGGAGACAUUGUUAGUUUCGGUGCAAGAUAGGUGCCCAGUUUGCAACUAAUGCACCAUAGUCUAAGAAAUCAUUUUGGACACACUUGUUGGUACGCCUAGGUGAAGGGGCUCAAGUGGUUGCUCGGUUCGGUCUGUUUGGAGAUAGUGCUAAUCUUGAUUCAAGAUAGGUGCACGGUUUGCAUGGAACAUACCAAAUGCUUGGAAAUCAAUCUGGACGCACAUGAUGGAACUCAUAGAUGACGUGUGUCAUACGAAAUCUUGCUUCGGUCUAUUUGGAGACAUUGUUAGUUUCGGUGCAAGAUAGGUGCACAGUUUGCACCUAAUGCACCAUAGUCUAAGAAACCAUUUUGGAUGCACCUGUUAGUACUUCGGUGAAGAGGCUCAAGUGGAAGCUCUGUUUGAUCUGCUUGGAGAUAGUGCUAAUCUUGAUGCUAGAUAGGUGCAUGAUUUGCAAGGAACAUACCAUAUGAUUAGAAAUCAAUUUGGACGCACCCAAUGGAACUCCUAGAUGACGUGUGUCUCCUAGAUGACGUGUGUCAUAUGGAAUCUUGCUUCGAAUCCUGUUUCGGUCCAUUUGUAGACAUUGUAAGUUUUAGUGCAAGAUAGGUGCACAGUUUGCGCCUAAUGCACCAUAGUCUAAGAAACCAUUUUGGACGCACUAUUUCGUAUUCCUGGGUGAAAAGGCUCAAGUGGAAGCUUGGUUUGGUCAGUUUGGAGAUAGUGCUAAUCCUUAUGCGAGGUAGGAGCAUGGUUUGCAUGGAACAUUGGAAAUCAAUUUGAAUGCAACCGAUGGAACUCCUUGAUGACAUGUGUCAUAUGGAAUCUCGCUUCGGUCCAUUUGGAGACAUUGUUAGUUUCGGUGUAAGAUAGGUUCACAGUUUGCACCUAAUGAACCAUAGUCUAAGAAACCAUUUUGUAUGCAUAGUUUGUACAUAAUGCACCAUAGGCUAAGAAACCAUUUUGGACGCACCCGAUGGUACUCCUAGGUAAAAGGCUCAAGUGAAAGCUCAGUUUGGUCUAUUUGGAGAGAGUGCUAAUCUUGAUGCAAGAUAGAUGCAUGGUCUGCAUGGAACGUAACAUAUGCUUAAAAAUUAAUUUGGACACACCCGAUAGAACUCCUUGAUGACGUGUGUCAUAUGGAAUCUCGCUUUGGUGUGCUUAGAGACAGUAUUAGUUUCGGUGCAAGAUAUGUGCACGGUUUGCGCCUAAUGCACCAAAGUCUAAGAAACCAUUUUGGAAGCACCUGUUGGUACUCCUAGGUGAAGAGGCUCAAGUGGAGGCUCGGUUUGGUCUGUUUAGAGAUAGUCCUAAUCUUGAUGCAAGAUAGGUGCACGAUUUGCAUGGAACAUACCAUAUGUUCAGAAAUCAAUUUGGACACACCAGAUGGAACUCCUAGAUGACAUGUGUCAUAUGGAAUCUCAAUUCCGUCCGUUUAGAGACAGUGUUAGUUUUGGUGCAAGAUAGGUGCACGGUUUGCACCUAAUGCACCAUAGGAUAAGAAACCAUUUUGGACGCACCCGAUGGUACUCCUAGGUCAAGGGGCUCAAGUGACAGCUCGGUUUGGUCUCUUUGGAGAUAGUGGUAAUCUUGAUGCAAGAUAGAUGCACGGUUUGCAUGGAACAUAUGAUAUGCUCAGAAAUCAAUCAGGACGCACCUGAUAUAACUCCUUGAUGAUGUGUGUCAUAUGGAAUCUUGCUUCGGUUCGUUUAGAGACAGUGUUAGUUUUGGUAGAAGAUAUGUGCAUGGUUUAUGCCAAAUGCAUCAUAGGCUAAGAAACCAUUUUAGACGCACCUGAUGGUACUCGUAGUUGAAGAGGCUCAAGUGGAGGCCUUAUUUGGUCUGUUCGGAUAUAGUGCUAAUCUUGAUGCAAGAUAGUUACACAGUUUGAUGGAACAUACCAUAUGUUAAGAAAUCAAUUUGGACGCACCCAAUGGAACUCCUAGAUGACGUGUGUCAUAUGGAAUCUCGCUUUGGUCCAUUUGGAGACAAUGUUAGUUUCGGUGCAAGAUAGGUGCAUAGUUUGUGCCUAAUGCACCACAGUCUAAGAAACCAUUUUUGAUGCACCUGUGUGUACUUCUAGAUGAAGAGGCUCAAGUGGAAGCUCGGUUCGGUCUGUUUGGAGAUAGUGCUUAUAUUGAUGCAAGAUAGUUGCACGGUUUGCAUGGAACAUACCAUAUGCUUAGAAAUCAAUUUGGAUGCACCCGACGGAACUCCUUGAUGACGUGUGUCUUAUUGAAUCUCGCUUUGGUCUGUUUAGAAAUAGUGUUAGUUUCAAUGCAAGAUAUGGGCAUGGUUUGCACCUAAUGCACCAUAGUCUAGGAAACCAUUUUGGAAGCACCUGUUGGUACUUCGGUGGAGAGGCUCCAGUGGAAGCUCGAUUUGAUCUGUCUCGAGAUAGUGCUACUCUAGAUGCAAAAUAGGUGCAUGAUUUGCAAGGAACAUACCAUAUGCUUAGAAAUCAAUUUGGACGCACCCAAUGGAACUCCUAGAUGACGUGUGUCAUAUGGAAUCUUGCUUCGGUCCAUUUGUAGACAUUGUAAGUAUUAGUGCAAGAUAGGUGCACAGUUUGCGCGUAAUGCACCGUAGUCUUUGAAACCAUUUUUGACUCCCUAUUUGGUACUCCUGGAUGAAGAGGCUCAAGUGGAAGCUUGGUUCGGUCAGUUUGGAGAUAAUGCUAAUCCUUAUGCAAGGUAGGUGCAUGGUUUGCAUGGAACAUACCAUAUGCUUGGAAAUCAAUUUGGAUGCACCCGAUGGGACUCCUUGAUGACGUGUGUCAUUUGGAAUCUCGCUUUGGUCCAUUUGGAGACAUUGUUAGUUUCGGUGCAAGAUAGGUGCACAGUUUGCACCUAAUGCACCAUAGUCUAAGAAAUCAUUUUGGACGCACCUGUUGGUACUCCUAGGUGAAGGGGCUCAAGUGGAUGCUCGGUUCGGUCUGUUUGGAGAUAGUGCUAAUCUUGAUGUAAGAUAGGUGCACGGUUCGCAUGGAACAUACCAAAUACUUGAAAAUCAAUCUGCACGCACAUGAUGGAACUCCUAGAUGACGUGUGUCAUAUGAAAUCUUGCUUCGGUCUGUUUGGAGACAGUGUUAGUUUCGGUGCAAGAUAGGUGCAAGGUUUGCACAUAAUGCAGCCUAGGCUAAGAAACCAUUUUGGACGCACCUGAUGGUACUCGCUAGGUAAAAGGCUCAAGUGAAAGCUCGGUUCGGUCUGUUUAGAGAUAGUGCUAAUCUUGAUACAAGAUAGGUGCACGAUUUGCAUGGAACAUACCAUAUGCUCAGAAAUCAAUUUGGACACACCAGAUGGAACUCCUAGAUGGGUGUCAUAUGGAAUCUCAAUUUCGUCCGUUUAGAGACAGUGUUAGUUUUGGUGCAAGAUAGGUGCACGGUUUACACCUAAUGCACCAUAGGAUAAGAAACCGUUUUGGACGCACCCGAUGGUACUCCUAGGUCAAGGGGCUCAAGUGACAGCUCGGUUUGGUCUGUUUGGAGAUAGUGCUAAUCUUGAUGCAAGAUAGAUGCACGGUUUACAUGGAACAUAUGAUAUGCUCAGAAAUCAAUUAGGAGGCACCUGAUAUAACUCCUUGAUGAUGUGUGUCAUUGGAAUCUUGCUUCGGUUCGUUUAGAGACAGUGUUAGUUUUGGUAGAAGAUAUGUGCACGGUUUACGCCUAAUGCACCAUUGGCGAAGAAACCAUUUUAGACGCACCCAAUGGUACUCGUAGUGGAGGUUCGAUUUGGUCUGUUCGGAUAUAGUGCUAAUCUUAAUUCAAGAUAGUUGCAUAGUUUGCAUGAAACAUACCAUAUGUUAAGAAAUCAAUUUGGACGCACCCAAUGCAACUCCUUGACGACGUGUGUCAUAUGGAAUCUUGCUUUGGUCUAUUUGGAGACAAUGUUAGUUUCGGUGCAAGAUAGGUGCAUAGUUUGUGCCUAAUACACCAUAGUCUAAGAAACCAUUUUUGAUGCACCUGUUUGUACUCCUAGAUGAAGAGGCAAGUGGAAGCUCGGUUCGAUUUGUUUGGAGAUAGUGCUAAUCUUGAUGCAAGAUAGGUGCACGGUUUGCAUGGAACAUACCAUAUGCUUGGAAAUCAAUUUGGAUGCACCCGAUGGAACUCCUUGAUGACGUGUGUCAUACGGAAUCUCACUUUGGUUUGUUUAGAAACAGUGUUAGUUUCCGUGCAAGAUAUGUGCAUGGUUUGCGCCUAAUGCACCAUAGUCUAAGAAACCAUUUUGGACGCACUAUUUGGUACUCCUGGGUGAAGAGGCUCAAGUGGAAGCUUGGUUCGGUCAGUUUGGAGAUAGUGCUAAUCCUUAUGCAAGGUAGGUGCAUGGUUUGUAUGGAACAUACCAUAUGGUUGGAAAUCAAUUUGGAUGCACCCGAUGGAACUCCUUGAUGACGUGUGUCAUAUAGAAUCUCACUUCAGUCCAUUUGGAGACAUUGUUAGUUUCAGUGCAAGAUAGGUGCAUAGUUUGCACCUAAUGCACCAUAGUCUAAGAAACCAUUUUGGACGCACUUGUUGGUACUUCGGUGAAGGGGAUCAAGUGGAUGCUCGGUUCGGUCUGUUUGGAGAUAGUGCUAAUCUUGAUGCAAGAUAGGUGCACGGUUUGCAUGGAACAUACCAAAUGCUUGGAAAUCAAUCUGGACGCACAUGAUGGAACCCUAGAUGACGUGUGUCAUACAAAAUCUUGCUUCGGUCUGUUUGGGGACAUUGUUAGUUUCGGUGCAAGAUAGCUUGUCGAGGGUAUCAGUAAGGGGUACCCUCACCGACCCACAUAUCGAGAUUAUCCGUACGCAGGUCGAAGCCCUCAAUCGACGCCCUGGUCAUACAUGUGCGCGGUCAUCGACGACCGCAGCCUCGAAGACGGAAAUGGCGUCGAGCAAAUCGAUCAGGGGUCGAGCGCUAGCUACCGUCGAGUACAGAAGCGGGCUCGCGCAAACCGGGAGGCAUCGAGCGCAAGGACGCCGCCCGCCGCCUGACAUGCGCACGAGAGCCAGGGCAUUUAAUGCGCCUGUCGCUUUCCCACCUAACACGCUGAUCACGGGAAGCGUGAUAGGGAACAGGCACCCGUCCCGUCGUUCUUUUUGCAGCCUUCCCCACCAAACGACCCAGGGCGUGUCAGGACGCGGGAAACAGGGACGGAACGUCCAAUCAGGACCCCCUCGAGACAACCAAAGUCAGCGCUCCGGAUAUCAGGACAUAGCGUGGCGUCCGACCCUCGACCAGACCUAGUUCCUUCCUGGGGAUGAAUUGGGCAUCGACUGACAAUGCCACAACCAUUCUGCCGGAUCUGCCGCCGUGUCGUACAGGCGUGCGACUGGUGAACCAGCCCAAGACGGCGCGCAGGGCAGGUUACAGGGGCACGCGUGAUCAUCACCAGGCUACUAAGACGGGAUGGCUCGAGGUCACGCCGGUACGGAGGCCUCGAGUAGGUCAGCGCUCCAUGCUUCUAUCGACCCCUACUCUGACACCUAUACUUGUACCCUGGGUCUCUCUUUCGAGCUAUAAAAGGAAGGACCCGGGAAUAGAUAGAGGACACACGCAACACUUCACCAUACGCGGUAGGACUCCCAUACUCCAUACCACGCUUGUAUUCGCCCCUGUACAAGCACUUAGGUGCAAGAUAAUACAAGCUUCCCUCCCCCGCUGGACGUAGGGCCUUCUCUUGCCCAAACCAGGAUAAAUCUCUGUGUCUUCUUGCAUCACCAUCUGGGAAAGGGAGCACGCAUAUAAAUUUACUCGUUGGUGUGACCCCCCGUGGGGAAAACACCGACAUAGGUGCACAGUUUGCACCUAAUGCACCAUAGUCUAAGAAACCAUUUUGGAUGCACCUGUUGGUACUUCGGUGAAGAGGCUCAAGUGGAAGCUCGGUUUGAUCUGUUUGGAGAUAGUGCUAAUCUUGAUGCAAGAUAGGUGCAUGAUUUGCAAGGAACAUACCAUAUGCUUAGAAAAUCAAUUUGUACGCACCCAAUGGAACUCCUAGAUGACGUGUGUCAUAUGGAAUCUUGCUUCGGUCCAUUUGUAGACAUUGUAAGUUUUAGUGCAAGAUAGGUGCACAGUUUGUGCCUAAUUCACCAUAGUCUAAGAAACCAUUUUGGACGCACUAUUUGGUACUCCUAGGUGAAGAGGCUCAAGUGGAAGCUUGGUAUGGUCAGUUUGGAGAUAGUGCUAAUCCUUAUGCAAGGUAGGUGCAUGGUAUGCAUGGAACAUUGGAAAUCAAUUUGGAUGCACCCGAUGGAACUCCUUGAUGACGUGUGUCAUAUGGAAUCUCGCUUCGCUUCAUUUGAAGACAUUGUUAGUUUUGGUGUAAGAUAGGUGCACAGUUUGCACCAAAUGCACCAUAGUCUAAGAAACCAUUUUGUAUGCACUUGUUGGUACUCCUAGGUGAAGGGGCUCAAGCGGAUGCUCGAUUUGGUCUAUUUGGAGAUAGUGCUAAUCUUGAUCCAUGAUAGGUGCACGGUUUGCAUGGAACACACCAAAUGCUUGGAAAUCAAUCUGGACGCACAUGAUGGAACUCCCAGAUGACGUGUGUCAUACGAAAUCUCACUUCGGUCUAUUUGGAGACAGUGUUAGUUUCGGUGCAAGAUAGGUGCAAGGUUUGUACAUAAUGCAGCAUAGGCUAAGAAACCAUUUUGGACGCACCCGAUGGUACUCGUAGGUAAAAGGCUCAAGUGAAAGCUCGGUUUGGUCUAUUUCGAGAGAGUGCUAAUCUUGAUGCAAGAUAGAUGUACGGUCUGCAUGGAACAUACCAUAUGCUUAAAAAUUAAUUUGGACACACCCGAUAGAACUCCUUGAUGACGUGUGUCAUAUGGAAUCUCGCUUUAGUGUGUUUACAGACAGUAUUAGUUUUGGUGCAAGAUAUGUGCACGGUUUGCGCCUAAUGCACCAAAGUCUAAGAAACCAUUUUGGAAGUUGGUACUCCUAGGUGAAGAGGCUCAAGUGCAGGCUCGGUUUGGUCUGUUUAGAGAUAGUCCUAAUCUUGAUGCAAGAUAGUUGCACGAUUUGCAUGGAACAUACCAUAUGCUCAGAAAUCAAUUUGGACACACCAGAUGGAACUCCUAGAUGACAUGUGUCAUAUGGAAUCUCACUUCAGUCCGUUUAGAAAUAGCGUUAGUUUCGGUGCAAGAUAGGUGUACGGUUUGCACCUAAUGCACCAUAGGAUAAGAAACCAUUUUGGACGCACCCGAUGGUACUCCUAGGUCAAGGGGCUCAAGUGAAAGCUCCGUUUCGUCUGUUUAGAGAUAGUGCUAAUCUUGAUGCAAGAUAGAUGCACGGUUUGCAUGGAACAUAUGAUAUGCUCAUAAAUCAAUUUCAACGCACCUGAUAUAACUCCUUGAUGAUGUGUGUCAUAUGGAAUCUUGCUUCAGUUCGUUUCUAGACAGUGUUAGUUUUGGUAGAAGAUAUGUGCACGGUUUACGCCUAAUGCACCAUAGGCUAUGAAACCAUUUUAUACGCACCUGAUGGUACUCAUAGUUGAAGAGGCUCAAGUGGAGGCUCGAUUUGGUCUGUUCAGAUAUAGUGCUAAUCUUGAUGCAAGAUAGUUGCACAGUUUGCAUGGAACGUACCAUAUGUUAAGAAAUCAAUUUGGAUGCACCGAAUGGAACUCCUAGAUGAUGUGUGUCAUAUGGAAUCUUGCUUCGGUCUAUUUGGAGAUAAUGUUAGUUUCGGUGCAACAAAGGUGCAUAGUUUGUGCCUAAUGCACCAUAGUCGAAGAAACCAUUUUUGACGCACCUGUUUGUACUCCUAGAUGAAGAGGCUCAAGUGGAAGCUCGGUUCGGUCUGUUUGGAGAUAGUGCUAAUCUUGAUGCAAGAUAGGUGCACGGUAUGCAUGGAACAUACCAUAUGCUUGGAAAUCAAUUUGGAUGCACCCGAAGGAACUCCUUGAUGACGUGUGUCAUAUGGAAUCUCGCUUUGGUCUGUUUAGAAACAGUAUUAGUUUCUGUGCAAGAUAUGUGCAUGGUUUGCGCCUAAUGCACCAUAGUCUAAGAAACCAUUUUGGAUGCACCUGUUGGUACUUCGGUGAAGAGGCUCAAGUGGAAGCUCGGUUUGAUCUGUUUGGAGAUAGUGCUAAUCUUGAUGCAAGAUAAGUGCAUGAUUUGCAAGGAACAUACCAUAUGCUUAGAAAAUCAAUUUGUACGCACCCAAUGGAACUCCUAGAUGACGUGUGUCAUAUGGAAUCUUGCUUCGGUCCAUUUGUAGACAUUGUAAGUUUUAGUGCAAGAUAGGUGCACAGUUUGUGCCUAAUUCACCAUAGUCUAAGAAACCAUUUUGGACGCACUAUUUGGUACUCCUAGGUGAAGAGGCUCAAGUGAAAGCUUGGUAUGGUCAGUUUGGAGAUAGUGCUAAUCCUUAUGCAAGGUAGGUGCAUGGUAUGCAUGGAACAUUGGAAAUCAAUUUGGAUGCACCCGAUGGAACUCCUUGAUGACGUGUGUCAUAGGGAAUGUCGCUUCGGUUCAUUUGAAGACAUUGUUAGUUUUGGUGUAAGAUAGGUGCACAGUUUGCACCAAAUGCACCAUAGUCUAAGAAACCAUUUUGUAUGCACUUGUUGGUACUCCUAGGUGAAGGGGCUCAAGCGGAUGCUCGAUUUGGUCUAUUUGGAGAUAGUGCUAAUCUUGAUCCAUGAUAGGUGCACGGUUUGCAUGGAACACACCAAAUGCUUGGAAAUCAAUCUGGACGCACAUGAUGGAACUCCUAGAUGACGUGUGUCAUACGAAAUCUCACUUCGGUCUAUUUGGAGACAGUGUUAGUUUCGGUGCAAGAUAGGUGCAAGGUUUGUACAUAAUGCAGCAUAGGCUAAGAAACCAUUUUGGACGCACCCGAUGGUACUCGUAGGUAAAAGGCUCAAGUGAAAGCUCGGUUUGGUCUAUUUCGAGAGAGUGCUAAUCUUGAUGCAAGAUAGAUGUACGGUCUGCAUGGAACAUACCAUAUGCUUAAAAAUUAAUUUGGACACACCCGAUAGAACUCCUUGAUGACGUGUGUCAUAUGGAAUCUCGCUUUAGUGUGUUUACGGACAGUAUUAGUUUUGGUGCAACAUAUGUGCACGGUUUGCGUCUAAUGCACCAAAGUCUAAGAAACCAUUUUGGAAGUUGGUACUCCUAGGUGAAGAGGCUCAAGUGCAGGCUCGGUUUGGUCUGUUUAGAGAUAGUCCUAAUCUUGAUGCAAGAUAGUUGCACGAUUUGCAUGGAACAUACCAUAUGCUCAGAAAUCAAUUUGGACACACCAGAUGGAACUCCUAGAUGACAUGUGUCAUAUGGAAUCUCACUUCAGUCCGUUUAGAAAUAGCGUUAGUUUCGGUGCAAGAUAGGUGCACGGUUUGCACCUAAUGCACCAUAGGAUAAGAAACCAUUUUGGACGCACCCGAUGGUACUCCUAGGUCAAGGGGCUCAAGUGAAAGCUCCGUUUCGUCUGUUUAGAGAUAGUGCUAAUCUUGAUGCAAGAUAGAUGCACGGUUUGCAUGGAACAUAUGAUAUGCUCAGAAAUCAAUUUGAACGCACCUGAUAUAACUCCUUGAUGAUGUGUGUCAUAUGGAAUCUUGCUUCAGUUCAUUUCUAGACAAUGUUAGUUUUGGUAGAAGAUAUGUGCACGGUUUACGCCUAAUGCACCAUAGGCUAUGAAACCAUUUUAUACGCACCUGAUGGUGCUCAUAGUUGAAGAGGCUCAAGUGGAGGCUCGAUUUGGUCUGUUCAGAUAUAGUGCUAAUCUUGAUGCAAGAUAGUUGCACAGUUUGCAUGGAACGUACCAUAUGUUAAGAAAUCAAUUUGGACGCACCCAAUGGAACUCCUAGAUGAUGUGUGUCAUAUGGAAUCUUGCUUCUGUCUAUUUGGAGAUAAUGUUAGUUUCGGUGCAACAAAGGUGCAUAGUUUGUGCCUAAUGCACCAUAGUCGAAGAAACCAUUUUUGACGCACCUGUUUGUACUCCUAGAUGAAGAGGCUCAAGUGGAAGCUCGGUUCGGUCUGUUUGGAGAUAGUGCUAAUCUUGAUGCAAGAUAGGUGCACGGUAUGCAUGGAACAUACCAUAUGCUUGGAAAUCAAUUUGGAUGCACCCGAUGGAACUCAUUGAUGACGUGUGUCAUAUGGAAUCUCGCUUUGGUCUGUUUAGAAACAGUAUUAGUUUCUGUGCAAGAUAUGUGCAUGGUUUGCGCCUAAUGCACCAUAGUCUAAGAAACCAUUUUGGAUGCACCUGUUGGUACUUCGGUGAAGAGGCUCAAGUGGAAGCUCGGUUUGAUCUGUUUGGAGAUAGUGCUAAUCUUGAUGCAAGAUAAGUGCAUGAUUUGCAAGGAACAUACCAUAUGCUUAGAAAAUCAAUUUGUACGCACCCAAUGGAACUCCUAGAUGACGUGUGUCAUAUGGAAUCUUGCUUCGGUCCAUUUGUAGACAUUGUAAGUUUUAGUGCAAGAUAGGUGCACAGUUUGUGCCUAAUUCACCAUAGUCUAAGAAACCAUUUUGGACGCACUAUUUGGUACUCUUAGGUGAAGAGGCUCAAGUGAAAGCUUGGUAUGGUCAGUUUGGAGAUAGUGCUAAUCCUUUUGCAAGGUAGGUGCAUGGUAUGCAUGGAACAUUGGAAAUCAAUUUGGAUGCACCCGAUGGAACUCCUUGAUGACGUGUGUCAUAUGGAAUGUCGCUUCGGUUCAUUUGAAGACAUUGUUAGUUUUGGUGUAAGAUAGGUGCACAGUUUGCACCAAAUGCACCAUAGUCUAAGAAACCAUUUUGUAUGCACUUGUUGGUACUCCUAGGUGAAGGGGCUCAAGUGGAUGCUCGAUUUGGUCUAUUUGGAGAUAGUGCUAAUCUUGAUCCAUGAUAGGUGCACGGUUUGCAUGGAACAUACCAAAUGCUUGGAAAUCAAUCUGGACGCACAUGAUGGAACUCCUAGAUGACGUGUGUCAUACGAAAUCUCACUUCGGUCUAUUUGGAGACAGUGUUAGUUUCGGUGCAAGAUAGGUGCAAGGUUUGUACAUAAUGCAGCAUAGGCUAAGAAACCAUUUUGGACGCACCCGAUGGUACUCGUAGGUAAAAGGCUCAAGUGAAAGCUCGGUUUGGUCUAUUUCGAGAGAGUGCUAAUCUUGAUGCAAGAUAGAUGUACGGUCUGCAUGGAACAUACCAUAUGCUUAAAAAUUAAUUUGGACACACCCGAUAGAACUCCUUGAUGACGUGUGUCAUAUGGAAUCUCGAUUUAGUGUGUUUACAGACAGUAUUAGUUUUGGUGCAAGAUAUGUGCACGGUUUGCGCCUAAUGCACCAAAGUCUAAGAAACCAUUUUGGAAGUUGGUACUCCUAGGUGAAGAGGCUCAAGUGCAGGCUCGGUUUGGUCUGUUUAGAGAUAGUCCUAAUCUUGAUGCAAGAUAGUUGCACGAUUUGCAUGGAACAUACCAUAUGCUCAGAAAUCAAUUUGGACACACCAGAUGGAACUCCUAGAUGACAUGUGUCAUAUGGAAUCUCACUUCAGUCCGUUUAGAAAUAGCGUUAGUUUCGGUGCAAGAUAGGUGCACGGUUUGCACCUAAUGCACCAUAGGAUAAGAAACCAUUUUGGACGCACCCGAUGGUACUCCUAGGUCAAGGGGCUCAAGUGAAAGCUCCGUUUCGUCUGUUUAGAGAUAGUGCUAAUCUUGAUGCAAGAUAGAUGCACGGUUUGCAUGGAACAUAUGAUAUGCUCAGAAAUCAAUUUGAACGCACCUGAUAUAACUCCUUGAUGAUGUGUGUCAUAUGGAAUCUUGCUUCAGUUCGUUUCUAGACAGUGUUAGUUUUGGUAGAAGAUAUGUGCACGGUUUACGCCUAAUGCACCAUAGGCUAUGAAACCAUUUUAUACGCACCUGAUGGUACUCAUAGUUGAAGAGGCUCAAGUGGAGGCUCGAUUUGGUCUGUUCAGAUAUAGUGCUAAUCUUGAUGCAAGAUAGUUGCACAGUUUGCAUGGAACGUACCAUAUGUUAAGAAAUCAAUUUGGACGCACCCAAUGGAACUCCUAGAUGAUGUGUGUCAUAUGGAAUCUUGCUUCGGUCUAUUUGGAGAUAAUGUUAGUUUCGGUGCAACAAAGGUGCAUAGUUUGUGCCUAACGCACCAUAGUCGAAGAAACCAUUUUUGACGCACCUGUUUGUACUCCUAGAUGAAGAGGCUCAAGUGGAAGCUCGGUUCGGUCUGUUUGGAGAUAGUGCUAAUCUUGAUGCAAGAUAGGUGCACGGUAUGCAUGGAACAUACCAUAUGCUUGGAAAUCAAUUUGGAUGCACCCGAUGGAACUCCUUGAUGACGUGUGUCAUAUGGAAUCUCGCUUUGGUCUGUUUAGAAACAGUAUUAGUUUCUGUGCAAGAUAUGUGCAUGGUUUGCGCCUAAUGCACCAUAGUCUAAGAAACCAUUUUGGAUGCACCUGUUGGUACUUCGGUGAAGAGGCUCAAGUGGAAGCUCGGUUUGAUCUGUUUGGAGAUAGUGCUAAUCUUGAUGCAAGAUAAGUGCAUGAUUUGCAAGGAACAUAUCAUAUGCUUAGAAAAUCAAUUUGUACGCACCCAAUGGAACUCCUAGAUGACGUGUGUCAUAUGGAAUCUUGCUUCGGUCCAUUUGUAGACAUUGUAAGUUUUAGUGCAAGAUAGGUGCACAGUUUGUGCCUAAUUCACCAUAGUCUAAGAAACCAUUUUGGACGCACUAUUUGGUACUCCUAGGUGAAGAGGCUCAAGUGAAAGCUUGGUAUGGUCAGUUUGGAGAUAGUGCUAAUCCUUAUGCAAGGUAGGUGCAUGGUAUGCAUGGAACAUUGGAAAUCAAUUUGGAUGCACCCGAUGGAACUCCUUGAUGACGUGUGUCAUAUAGAAUUUCGCUUCGGUUCAUUUGAAGACAUUGUUAGUUUUGGUGUAAGAUAGGUGCACAGUUUGCACCAAAUGCACCAUAGUCUAAGAAACCAUUUUGUAUGCACUUGUUGGUACUCCUAGGUGAAGGGGCUCAAGUGGAUGCUCGAUUUGGUCUAUUUGGAGAUAGUGCUAAUCUUGAUCCAUGAUAGGUGCACGGUUUGCAUGGAACACACCAAAUGCUUGGAAAUCAAUCUGGACGCACAUGAUGGAACUCCUAGAUGACGUGUGUCAUACGAAAUCUCACUUCGGUCUAUUUGGAGACAGUGUUAGUUUCGGUGUAAGAUAGGUGCAAGGUUUGUACAUAAUGCAGCAUAGGCUAAGAAACCAUUUUGGACGCACCCGAUGGUACUCGUAGGUAAAAGGCUCAAGUGAAAGCUCGGUUUGGUCUAUUUCGAGAGAGUGCUAAUCUUGAUGCAAGAUAGAUGUACGGUCUGCAUGGAACAUACCAUAUGCUUAAAAAUUAAUUUGGACACACCCGAUAGAACUCCUUGAUGACGUGUGUCAUAUGGAAUCUCGAUUUAGUGUGUUUACAGACAGUAUUAGUUUUGGUGCAAGAUAUGUGCACGGUUUGCGCCUAAUGCACCAAAGUCUAAGAAACCAUUUUGGAAGUUGGUACUCCUAGGUGAAGAGGCUCAAGUGCAGGCUCGGUUUGGUCUGUUUAGAGAUAGUCCUAAUCUUGAUGCAAGAUAGUUGCACGAUUUGCAUGGAACAUACCAUAUGCUCAGAAAUCAAUUUGGACACACCAGAUGGAACUCCUAGAUGACAUGUGUCAUAUGGAAUCUCACUUCAGUCCGUUUAGAAAUAGCGUUAGUUUCGGUGCAAGAUAGGUGCACGGUUUGCACCUAAUGCACCAUAGGAUAAGAAACCAUUUUGGACGCACCCGAUGGUACUCCUAGGUCAAGGGGCUCAAGUGAAAGCUCCAUUUCGUCUGUUUAGAGAUAGUGCUAAUCUUGAUGCAAGAUAGAUGCACGGUUUGCAUGGAACAUAUGAUAUGCUCAGAAAUCAAUUUGGACGCACCUGAUAUAACUCCUUGAUGAUGUGUGUCAUAUGGAAUCUUGCUUCAGUUCGUUUCUAGACAGUGUUAGUUUUGGUAGAAGAUAUGUGCACGGUUUACGCCUAAUGCACCAUAGGCUAUGAAACCAUUUUAUACGCACCUGAUGGUACUCAUAGUUGAAGAGGCUCAAGUGGAGGCUCGAUUUGGUCUGUUCAGAUAUAGUGCUAAUCUUGAUGCAAGAUAGUUGCACAGUUUGCAUGGAACGUACCAUAUGUUAAGAAAUCAAUUUGGACGCACCCAAUGGAACUCCUAGAUGAUGUGUGUCAUAUGGAAUCUUGCUUCGGUCUAUUUGGAGACAUUGUUAGUUUCGGUGCAACAAAGGUGCAUAGUUUGUGCCUAAUGCACCAUAGUCGAAGAAACCAUUUUUGACGCACCUGUUUGUACUCCUAGAUGAAGAGGCUCAAGUGGAAGCUCGGUUCGGUCUGUUUGGAGAUAGUGCUAAUCUUGAUGCAAGAUAGGUGCACGGUAUGCAUGGAACAUACCAUAUGCUUGGAAAUCAAUUUGGAUGCACCCGAUGGAACUCCUUGAUGACGUGUGUCAUAUGGAAUCUCGCUUUGGUCUGUUUAGAAACAGUGUUAGUUUCGGUGCAAGAGAUGUGCAUGGUUUGUGCCUAAUGCACCAUAGUUUAAGAAACCAUUUUGAAACCACCUGUUGGUACUUUGUUGAAGAGGCUCAAGUGGAAGCUCAGUUUGAUCUGUUUGGAGAUAGUGCUAAUCUUGGUGCAAGAUAGGUGCAUGAUUUGCAAGGAACAUACCAUAUGCUUAGAAAUCAAUUUGGACGCACCCAAUGGAACUCCUAGUUGACGUGUGUCAUAUGGAAUCUUGCUUCGGUCCAUUUGUAGACAUUGUAAGUUUUAGUGCAAGAUAGGUGCACAGUUUGCGCCUAAUGCACCGUAGUCUAAGAAACCAUUUUGGACGCACUAUUUGGUACUCCUGGGUGAAGAGGCUCAAGUGGAAGCUUGGUUCAGUCAGUUUGGAGAUAGUGCUAAUCCUUAUGCAAGGUAGGUGCAUGGUUUGCAUGGAACAUACCAUAUGGUUGGAAAUCAAUUUGGAUGCACCCGAUGGAACUCAUUGAUGACGUGUGUCAUAUGGAAUCUCGCUUCGGUCCAUUUGGAGACAUUGCUAGUUUCGGUGCAAGAUAGGUGCACAGUUUGCACCUAAUGCACCACAGUCUAAGAAACCAUUUUGGACGCACUUGUUGGUACUCCUAGGUGAAGGGGCUCAAGUGGAUGCUCGGUUCGGUCUGUUUGGAGAUAGUGCUAACUUUGAUGCAAGAUAGGUGCACGGUUUGCAUGGAACAUACCAAAUACUUGAAAAUUAAUCUGGACGCACAUGAUGGAACUCCUAGAUGACGUGUGUCAUACGAAAUCUUGCUUCGGUCUAUUUGGAGACAGUGUUAGUUUUGGUGCAAGAUAGGUGCAAGGGCACAUAAUGCAGCCUAGGCUAAGAAACCAUUUUGGACGCACCCGAUGGUACUCCUAGGUAAAAGGCUCAAGUGAAAGCUCGGUUUGCUCUAUUUGGAGUUAGUGCUAAACUUGAUGCAAGAUAGAUGCAUGGUCUGCAUGAACGUACCAUAUGCUCAGAAAUUAAUUUGGACACACCCGAUAGAACUCUUUCAUGAACAGUUUGCGCCUAAAGCACCAUAGUCUAAGAAACCAUUUUGGACACACUAUUUGGUACUCCUGGGUGAAGAGGCUCAAGUGGAAGCUUGGUUCGGUCUGUUUGGAGAUACUGCUAAUCCUUAUGCAAGGUAGGUGCAUGGUUUGCAUGGAACAUACCGUAUGCUUGCAGAUCAAUUUGGAUGCACCCGAUGGAACUCCUUGAUGACGUGUGUCAUAUGGAAUCUCGCUUCGGUCCAUUUGGAGACAUUGUUAGUUUUGGUGCAAGAUAGGUGCACAGUUUGCGCCUAAUGCACCAAAGUCUAAGAAACCAUUUCGGAAGCACCUGUUGGUACUCCUAGAUGAAGAGGCUCAAGUGGAGGCUCGGUUCGGUCUGUUUAGAGAUAGUGCUAAUCUUAAUGCAAGAUACGAGCACGAUUUGCAUGGAACAUACCAUAUGCUCAGAAAUCAAUUUGGACACACCAGAUGGAACUCCUCGAUGACAUGUGUGAUUUGGAAUCUCACUUCGGUCCAUUUAGAGACUGUGUUAGUUUCGGUGCAAGAUAGGUGCACGGUUUGCACCUAAUGCACCAUAGGAUAAGAAACCAUUUUGGAUGCACCUGUUGGUACUCCUAGGUCACGGGGCUCAAGUGAAAGCUCGGUUUGGUCUGUUUGGAGAUAGUGCUAAUCUUGAUGCAAGAUAGAUGCAUGGUUUGCAUAGAACAUACGAUAUGCUCAUAAAUCAAUUAGGACGCACCUGAUAUAACUCCUUGAUGAUGUGUGUCAUAUGGAAUCUUACUUCGGUUCAUUUAGAGACAGUGCUAGUUUUGGUAGAAGAUAUGUGCAUGGUUUACGCCUAAUGCACCAUAGGCUAAGAAACCAUUUUAGACACACCCGAUAGUACUCGUAGUUGAAGAGGCUCCAGUGGAGGCUCGAUUUGAUUUGUUCGGAUAAAGUGCUAAUCUUGAUGCAAUAUAGUUGCACAGUUUGCAUGGCAUGUACCAUAUGUUAAGAAAUAAAUUUGGACGCACCCAAUGGAACUCCUAGAUGACGUGUGUCAUAUGGAAUCUCGCUUCGGUCUGUUUGGAGACAAUGAUAGUUUUGGUGCAAGAUAGGUGCACAGUUUGCACCUAAUGCACCAUAGUCUAAGAAACCAUUUUGGAUGCACUUGUUGGUACUCUCAAGUGGAUGCUCGGUUCGAUCUAUUUGGAGAUAGUGCUAAUCUUGAUUCAAGACAGGUGCACGGUUUGCAUGGAACAUACCAUAUCCUUGGAAAUCAAUUUGGAUGCACCCAAUGGAACUCCUUGAUGAUGUGUGUCAUAUGGAAUCUCGCUUUGGUCUGUUUAGAAACAGUGUUAGUUUCAGUGCAAGUUAUGUGCAUAAUUUGUGCCUAAUGUACCAUAGUCUAAGAAACCAUUUUGGAAGCACCUAUUGGUACUUCGGCGAAGAGGCUCAAGUGGAAGCUCAGUUUGAUCUAUUUGGAGAUAGUGCUAAUAUUGAUGCAAGAUAGGUGCAUGAUUUGCAAGGAACAUACCAUAUGCUUAGAAAUCAAUUUGGACGCACCCAAUGAAACUCCUAGAUGACGUGUGUCAUAUGGAAUCCUGCUUCUGUAGACAUUGUAAGUUUUAGUGCAAGAUAGGUGCAUAGUUUGCGCCUAAUGCACCAUAGUCUAAGAGACCAUUUUGGACGCACUAUUUGGUACUCCUGGGUGAAGAUGCUCAAGUGAAAGCUUGGUUUGGUCAGUUUGGAGAUAGUGCUAAUCGUUAUGCAAGGUAGGUGCAUGGUUUGCAUGGAACAUACCAUAUGCUUGGAAAUCAAUUUGGAUGCACCCGAUGGAACUCCUUGAUGACGUGUGUCAUAUGGAAUCUCGCUUCGGUCCAUUUGGACACAUUAUUAGUUUCGGUGUAAGAUAGGUGCACAGUUUGCACCUAAUGCACCAUAGUCUAAGAAACCAUUUUGUAAGCACUUGUUGGUACUCCUAGGUGAAGGGGCUCAAGUGGAUGCCCGGUUUGGUCUGUUUGGAGAUAGUGCUAAUCAGGAUCCAAGAUAGGUGCACGGUUUGCAUGGAACAUACCAAAUGCUUGGAAAUCAAUCUAGAUGCACAUGAUGGAACUCCUAGAUGACGAGUGUCAUACGAAAUCUUGCUUCGGUCUAUUUGCAGACAAUGUUAGUUUCGGUGCAACAUAGGUGCAAGGUUUGUACAUAAUGCAGCAUAGGCUAAGAAACCAUUUUGGACGCACCCGAUGGUACUCCUAGGUAAAAGGCUCAAGUGGAGGCUCGGUUCAGUCUGUUUAGAGAUAGUCCUAAUCUUGAUGCAAGAUAGGUGCACGAUUUACAUGGAACAUACCAUAUGCUCAGAAAUCAAUUUGGACACACCAGAUGGAACUCCUAGAUGACAUGUGUCAUAUGGAAUCUCACUUCAGUUCGUUUAGAGACAGCGUUAGUUUCGGUACAAGAUAGGUGCACGGUUUGCACCUAAUGCACCAUAGGAUAAGAAACCAUUUUGGACGCACCCGAUGGUACUCCUAGUUCAAGGGGCUCAAGUGAAAGCUCGGUUUGGUCUGUUUGGAGAUAGUGCUAAUCUUGAUGCAAGAUAGAUGCACGGUUUGCAUGGAACAUAUGAUAUGCUCAGAAAUCAAUUAGGACGCAACAGAUAUAACUCCUUGAUGAUGUGUGUCAUAUGGAAUCUUGCUUCGGUUCGUUUAGAGACAGUGUCAGUGUUGGUAGAAGAUAUGUGCACGGUUUACGCCUAAUGCACCAUAGGCUAAGAAAACAAUUUUAGACGCACCCGAUGGUACUCAUAGUUGAAAAGGCUCAAGUGGAGGCUCGAUUUGGUUUGUUCAGAUAUAGUGCUAAUCUUGUUGCAAGAUAGUUGCACAGUUUGCAUGGAACGUACCAUAUGUUAAGAAAUCAAUUUGGACGCACCUAAUGGAACUCCUAGAUGAUGUGUGUCAUAUGGAACCUCACUUUGGUGUGUUUAGAGACAAUGUUAGUUUCGGUGCAAGAUAGGUGCAUAGUUUGUGCCUAAUGCACCAGUCUAAGAAACCAUUUUUGACACACCUGUUUGUACUCCUAGAUGAAGAGGCUCAAGUGGAAGCUCGGUUCGGUCUGUUUGGAGAUAGUGCUAACAUUGAUGCAAGAUUGGUGCAUGGUUUGCACGGAACAUACCAUAUGCUUGGAAAUCAAUUUAGAUGCACCCGAUGGAACUCCUUGAUGACGUGUGUCAUAUGGAAUCUUGCUUUGGUCUGUUUAGAAACAGUGUUAGUUUCGGUGCAAUAUAUGUGCAUGGUUUGCGCCUAAUGCACCAUAGUCUAAGAAACCAUUUUGGAAGCACCUGUUGGUACUUCGAUGAAGAGGCUCAAGUGGAAGCUCGGUUUGAUCUGUUUGGAGAUAGUGCUAAUCUUGGUGCAAGAUUGGUGCAUGAUUUGCAAGGAACAUACCAUGUGGUUAGAAAUCAAUUUGGACGCACCCAAUGGAACUCCUAGAUGACGUGUAUCAUAUGGAAUCUUGCUUCGGUCCGUUUGUAGACAUUGUAAGUUUUAGUGCAAGAUAGGUGCACAGUUUGUUCCUAAUGCACCAUAGUCUAAGAAACCAUUUUGGACACACUAUUUGUUACUCCAUGGUGAAGAGGCUCAAGUGGAAGCUUGGUUUGGUCAGUUUGGAGAUAGUGCUAAUCCUUAUGCAAGGUAGGUGCAUGGUUUGCAUGGAACAUUGGAAAUCAAUUUGGAUGCACCCGAUGGAACUCCUUGAUGACGUGUGUCAUAUGAAAUCUCGCUUCGGUCCAUUUGGAGACAUUGUUAGUUUUGGUGUAAGAUAGGUGCACAGUUUGCACCAAUGCACCAUAGUCUAAGAAACCAUUUUGUAUGCACUUGUUGGUACUCCUAGGUGAAGGGCUCAAGUGGAUGCUCGGCUUGGUCUGUUUGGAGAUAGAGCUAAUCUUGAUCCAAGAUAGGUGCACGGUUUGCAUAGAACGUACCAAAUGCUUGGAAAUCAAUCUGGACACACAUGAUGGAACUCCUAAAUGAUGUGUGUCAUAUGAAAUCUUGCUUCGGUCUGUUUGGAGACAGUGUUAGUUACGGUGCAAGAUCUGUGCAAGGUUUGUACAUAAUGCAGCAUAGGCUAAGAAACCAUUUUGGACGCACCCGAUGGUACUCCUAGGUAAAGGCUCAAGUGAAAGCUCGGUUUGGUCUAUUUGGAGAGAGUGUUAAUCUUGAUGCAAGAUAGAUGCAUAGUCUGCAUGGAACGUACCAUAUGCUUAAAAAUUAAUUUGGACACACCCGAUAGAACUCCUUGAUGACGUGUGUCAUAUGGAAUCUCGCUUUGGUGUGCUUAGAGACAGUAUUAGUUUUGGUGCAAGAUAUGUGCACGGUUUGCGCCUAAUGCACCAAAGUCUAAGAAACCAUUUUGGCAGCACCUGUUGGUACUCCUAGGUGAAGAGGCUCCAGUGGAGGCUCGGUUUGGUCUGUUUAGAGAUAGUCCUAAUCUUGAUGCAAGAUAGGUGCACGAUUUAAAUGAAACAUACCAUAUGUUCAGAAAUCAAUUUGGACACACCAGAUGGAACUCCUAGAUGACAUGUGUCAUAUGGAAUCUCACUUCGGUCCAUUUAGAGACAGCGUUAGUUUCGGUGCAAGAUAUGCACCAUAGGAUAGGAAACCAUUUUGGACGCACCCGAUGGUACUCUUAGGUCAAGGGGCUCAAGUGAAAGCUCUGUUUUGUCUGUUUGGAGAUAGUGCUAAUCUUGAUGCAAGAUAGAUGCACGAUUUGCAUGGAACAUAUGAUAUGCUCAGAAAUCAAUUAGGACGCACCUGAUAUAACUCCUUGAUGAUGUUUGUCAUAUGGAAUCUUGCUUCGGUUCGUUUAGAGACAGUGUCAGUGUUGGUAGAAGAUAUGUGCACGGUUUAUGCCUAAUGCACCAUAGGCUAAGAAACAAUUUUAGACGCACCCGAUGGUACUCAUAGUUGAAAAGGCUCAAGUGGAGGCUCGAUUUGGUCUGUUUAGAUAUAGUGCUAAUCUUGAUGCAAGAUAGUUGCACAGUUUGCAUGGAACGUAUCAUAUGUUAAGAAAUCAAAUUGGAAGCACCUAAUGGAACUCCUAGAUGAUGUGUGUCAUAUGGAACCUCACUUUGGUGUGUUUAGAGAUAAUGUUAGUUUCGGUGCAAGAUAGGUGCAUAGUUCGUGCCUAAUGCACCAGUCUAAGAAACCAUUUUUGACGCACCUGUUUGUACUCCUAGAUGAAGAGGCUCAAGUGGAAGCUCGGUUCGGUCUGUUUGGAGAUAGUGCUAACAUUGAUGCAAGAUUGGUGCACGGUUUGCAUGGAACAUACCAUAUGCUCAGAAAUCAAUUUGGACGCACUAGAUGGAACUCCUAGAUGACAUGUGUAUGGAAUCUCACUUCGGUCUGUUUAGAGAAAGUGUUAGUUUCGGUGCAAGAUAGGUGCACUGUUUGCACCUAAUGCACCAUAGGAGAAGAAACCAUUUUGGACACACCCGAUGGUACUCCUAGGUCAAGGGGAUCAAGUGAAAGCUCGGUUUGGUCUGUUUGGAGAUAGUGCUAAUCUUGAUGCAAGAUAGAUGCACGGUUUGCAUGGAACAUACGAUAUGCUCAAAAAUCAAUUAGUCGCACCUGAUAUAACUCCUUGAUGAUGUGUGUCAUAUGGUAUCUUGCUUCGGUUCGUUUAGAUACAGUGUUAGUUUUGGUAGAACAUAUGUGCACGGUUUAUGCCUAGGCUAAGAAAUCAUUUUAGACGCACGCGAUGGUACUCGUAGUUGAAGAGGCUCAAGUGGAGGCUCGAUUUGGUCUGUUCACAUAUAGUGCUAAUCUUGAUGCAAGAUGGUUGCACAGUUUGUAUGGAACGUACCAUAUGUUAUGAAAUCAAUUUGGACGCACCCAAUGGAACUCCUAGAUGACGGUGUCAUAUGGAAUCUCGCUUCGGUCUGUUUGGAGACAAUGUUAGUUUCGGUGCAAGAUAGGUGCAUAGUUUGUGCCUAAUGCACCAUAGUCUAAGAAACCAUUUGUGACGCACCUGUUGGUACUCCUAGAUCAAGAGGCUCAAGUGGAAGCUCGGUUCGGUCUUUCUAGAGAUAGUGCUAAUCUUCAUGCAAGAUAGGUGCACGGUUUGCAUGGAACAUAACAUAUGCUUGGAAAUCAAUUUGGAUGCACCCGGUGGAACUCCUUGAUGAUGUGUGUCAUAUGGAAUCUCACUUCGGUCCGUUUAGAGACAGUGUUAGUUUCGGUGUAAGGUUGGUGCACAAUUUGCACCUAAUGCACCAUAGGAUAAGAAACCAUUUUGGACACACCCGAUGGUACUCCUAGGUCAAGGGGCUCAAGUGAAAGCUCGGUUUGGUCUGCUUGGAGAUAGUGCUAAUCUUAAUGCAAGAUAGAUGCAUGGUUUGCAUGGAACAUACGAUAUGCUUAGAAGUCAAUUAGGACGCACCUGAUAUAACUACUUGAUGAUGUGUGUCAUAUGGAAUCUUGCUUCGGUUUAUUUAGAGACAGUGUUAGCUUUGGUAGAAGAUAUGUGCACGGUUUACGCCUAAUGCACCAUAGGCUAAGAAACCAUUUUAGACGCACCUGAUGGUACUCGCAGUUGAAGAGGCUCAAGUGGAGGCUCGAUUUGGUCUGUUCGGAUAUAGUGCUAAUCUUGAUGCAAGAUAGUUGCACAGUUUGCAUGGAACGUACCAUAUGUUAAGAAAUCAAUUUGGACGAACCCAAUGGAACUCUUAGAUGACUUGUGUCAUAUGAAAUCUCGCUUCAUUCUGUUUGGUGAUAAUGAUAGUUUUGGUGCAAGAUAGGUGCAUAGUUUGUGCCUAAUGCACCAUAGUUUGAGAAACCAUUUUUGACGCACCUGUUUGUACUCCUAGAUGAAGAGGCUCAAGUGGAAGCUUGGUUCGGUCUGUUUGGAGAUUGUGCUAAUCUUGAUGCAAGAUAGGUGCACGUUUUGCAUGGAACAUACCAUAUGCUUGGAAAUCAAUUUGGAUGCACCCGAUCAAACUCCUUGAUGACAUGUGUCAUAUGGAAUCUUGCUUUGGUCUGUUCAGAAACAGUGUUAGUUUCGAUGCAAGAUAUGUGUGCAUGGUUUGCGCCUAAUGCACCUUAGUCUAAGAAAUCAUUUUGGAAGCACCUGCUAGUACUUCCAUGAAGAGGCUCAAGUAGAAGCUUGGUUUGAUCUGUUUGGAGAUAGUGCUAAUCUUGAUGCAAGAUAGGUGCAUGAUUUGCAAGGAACAUACCAUAUGCUUAGAAAAAAAUUUGGACGCACCCAAUGGAACUCCUAGAUAACGUGUGUCAUAUGGAAUCUUUCUGCGGUCCGUUUGUAGACAUUGUAAGUUUUAGUGCAAGAUAGGUGCACAGUUUGCGCAUAAUGCACCAUAGUCUAAGAAACCAUUUUGGACGCACUAUUUGGUACUCCUGGGUGAAGGGGCUCAAGUGGAUGCUCGGUUUGGUCUAUUUGGAGAUAGUGCUAAUCUUGAUGCAAGAUAGGUACACGGUUUGCAUGGAACAUACCAAAUGCUUGGAAAUCAAUCUGGACGAACAUGAUGGAACUCCUAGAUGACGUGUGUCAUACAAAAUCUUGCUUCGGUCUGUUUGGAGAUAGUGUUAGUUUCGGUGCAAGAUAGGUGCAAGGUUUGCAUAUAAUGCAGCAUAGGCUAAGAAACCAUUUUGGACGCACCCGAUGGUACUCCUAGGUAAAAGGCUCAAGUGGAAGCUUGGUUUUGUCUAUUUUGAGAUAGUACUAAUCUUGAUGCAAGAUAGAUGCAUGGUCUACAUGGAACGUACCAUAUGGUUAGAAAUUAAUUUGGACACACCCGAUAGAACUCCUUGAUGACGUGUGUCAUAUGGAAUCUCGCUUUGGUGUGCUUAGAGACAGUAUUAGUUUCGGAGAAGAUAUGUGCACGGUUUGCGCCUAAUGCACCAAAGUCUAAGAAACCAUUUUGGAAGCACCUGUUGGUACUCCUAGGUGAAGAUUCUGAAGUGGAGGCUCGGUUCGAUCUAUUUAGAGAUAGUGCUAAUCUUGAUGCAAGAUAGGUGCACGAUUUGCAUGGAACAUACCAUAUGCUCAGAAAUCAAUUUCGACGCACCACAUGGAACUCCUAAAUGACAUGUGUCAUAUGGAAUCUUGCUUUGGUCUGUUCAGAAACAGUGUUAGUUUCGAUGCAAGAUAUGUGUGCAUGGUUUGCGCCUAAUGCACCAUAGUCUAAGAAAUCAUUUUGGAAGCACCUGCUAGUACUUCCUUGAAGAGGCUCAAGUAGAAGCUUGGUUUGAUCUGUUUGGAGAUAGUGCUAAUCUUGAUGCAAGAUAGGUGCAUGAUUUGCAAGGAACAUACCAUAUGCUUAGAAAUAAAUUUGGACGCACCCAAUGGAACUCCUAGAUAACGUGUGUCAUAUAGAAUCUUUCUGCGGUCCGUUUGUAGACAUUGUAAGUUUUAGUGCAAGAUAGGUGCACAGUUUGCGCCUAAUGCACCAUAGUCUAAGAAACCAUUUUGGACGCACUAUUUGGUACUCCUGGGUGAAGGGGCUCAAGUGGAUGCUCGGUUUGGUCUAUUUGGAGAUAGUGCUAAUCUUGAUGCAAGAUAGGUACACGGUUUGCAUGGAACAUACCAAAUGCUUGGAAAUCAAUCUGGACGAACAUGAUGGAACUCCUAGAUGACGUGUGUCAUACAAAAUCUUGCUUCGGUCUGUUUGGAGAUAGUGUUAGUUUCGGUGCAAGAUAGGUGCAAGGUUUGCAUAUAAUGCAGCAUAGGCUAAGAAACCAUUUUGGACGCACCCGAUGGUACUCCUAGGUAAAAGGCUCAAGUGGAAGCUUGGUUUUGUCUAUUUUGAGAUAGUACUAAUCUUGAUGCAAGAUAGAUGCAUGGUCUACAUGGAACGUACCAUAUGGUUAGAAAUUAAUUUGGACACACCCGAUAGAACUCCUUGAUGACGUGUGUCAUAUGGAAUCUCGCUUUGGUGUGCUUAGAGACAGUAUUAGUUUCGGAGAAGAUAUGUGCACGGUUUGCGCCUAAUGCACCAAAGUCUAAGAAACCAUUUUGGAAGCACCUGUUGGUACUCCUAGGUGAAGAUUCUCAAGUGGAGGCUCGGUUCGAUCUAUUUAGAGAUAGUGCUAAUCUUGAUGCAAGAUAGGUUCACGAUUUGCAUGGAACAUACCAUAUGCUCAGAAAUCAAUUUCGAUGCACCACAUGGAACUCCUAGAUGACAUGUGUCAUAUGUGAUGUGAACCCACUAGGGUUUUCGCCUGAUCUUUCGAUGAGAGGCGCUGGAUAACUCGAUUAGUGAAUGGAGAUGACGUUCACGGCCCGACUACAGCCCUCAAGACUGCGCCUUAGCAACCGAUACACCGCCUCCAAUGGCUGUCACGAUCUUGUGGAGCGCAACACCCGGCCACUAGGGCACUCGUCCUGCAAGCAAUCGAAGAACCAGCAAGAACAAGUAGAACAAGUACUAAAUUACCAGAUGUAAAUGAAGGUUUCAAACUCAAUCUCUAAUGAAGUGGGGUUUCGAAAACAAGAAGACGGGCGGCUGGAUCAGCACGCGCGUUUACAAGCAAGUAGCGAAGGCUAAACUUUAUCUAAUCAAAACCCAGUUGUUCAUGGCGGCUCUAGAUGUAAAUAAAUAGAGGGGAGGACGACCAAAGGGGUGCUAGAGUCGUCCUCCAACCCUAGGACGCGUCCCUAAUGGACUCAACUUGAUACAUGGGCCAUUGGUCCAAAAUAGGGUGACGCAGCACCAAAAUAGAAAAAGGUGUCGGCACGAAAACAAGGACUGCGCCCGACUCAUAAGCCGCAUAGAUAUGUGGUUGGACCCAUUGGAAAGUAGACUUCAUGAGCUUUCCAACAAGUAUAGGAACGUCCCAGUUGGAUUCCAUAUGACGCCGUGGUGAUCCAUACAAGUUAGAGUUAUUUUCCAGUCCGAAUCCAACUCCCAAAACGUGUUGGGUUUGGACUCUUUGUUUCCUUGCUUUAGAAACGACGUGGUAACUUGACAGAGGAUGUUGUGGAGGCUUGGACCUGAUCUCCAAUCACCUUUGUUAAGUUAUCACUCUUCCCAUAUGCAAUCAGCCCUUGAAGUUGGUGUUGCCUCAAAUUCUGAAUGCAGUUGAACCUUCCCUUGCUGAUCUUGUCCAUUAUUCCUGAGCAACACCAAAGUGCACGUGGAUCCAUUGUCUAAAUAUGAUUGACAAGAGUUUAAAGCUGAACUUACUUGAAGGUUGAGUUGACGGGCACGAGCACGAGUAAGAGGACCAGCUAUAGGUUGUGUCGGAGAGGAUGUAGGAUAUGUAUCGCUGGUGGAUGUAGGAUAUGUAUCGCUGGUGGAUUUAGGAUAUGUAUCGCUGGUGGAUGUAGGAUAUGUAUCGCUGGUGUUGAUGUCCUCAUCAUCCUCCCUUUCUUGCAUUUGAGUUGUCCUCGACUCAAGCUCAUCUUCCUCACCCAAAUAAGGCUUCAAAUCUGCAAUGUUAAAUGUGGGACUAACCCCAAAAUCUUUGUCUAGUAGUUCUUGCACUUGUCGCUGAAUUUCCUUUGUUUCCUCCGGGUUUGUCCUGUAUGGUGCACGAUUUGGCAAAACUGAUCCAGGAAUAAGAUCAAUUUGGUGCUCAAUCCCGCGUAGUGGAGGCAGCCCCGCUGGUACCUCACUUGGAAACACAUCAGAAUACUCCUGCAAAACGUUAGCAACAGCAGGGGGCAAAGAACAUUGCAUAUCCUCAACUGAAAUCAAAACAUCCUUGCAUAUCAAAGCAUAAGCAACAGAAGUGGAUGCAUUGAACUCAUUAAUAUCUGAUUUGGUAGCUAUCAUACAACGUCCUUUCAGUUUUAUCUCAUCUUUGUUACCAAUUACAGAUUUAUCAUUUUUAUUGCUCUUGCUCUUUGCUUUAGUAGCCCUAGCAACAUCAGUUUGCAUAAUAGUUUCAGGGGACAUAGGAUGCAACACAAUUUUGCGAUCAUGGUAUAGAAAAGAAUACUGAUUUGAUCUACCAUGAUGCAUAGAAUCUCUAUCAAAUUGCUAAGGUCUACCUAGCAGAAUGUUACAAGCUUGCAUAGGCACAACAUCACAUUCAACAAUAUCUUUGUAGGAUCCGAUGGAAAAAUUAAUUCUCACAAGUCUAGUUACCUUUGCCUUACCACUGUUGUUCAGCCAUUGGAUGUAGUAGGGAUGCGGGUGUGGCUUGGUGUUGAGGGCAAGCUUCUGCACCAUAUCGCUGCUUGCCAAGUUGUUGCAGCUACCUCCAUCAAUGAUCAUGCGACAAGAACGCUCUUUGAUGACACACUUUGUUUGGAAUAAAAUGUGUCGCUGAUUUUGCUCCGCCAUCUCCAUUUGUGCACUAAGCACUCGCUGCACGAUCAAGCUCUCAUAGUGGUCUGCUUCACCUGCAUUAAUAUGUUCUUCUAUUUGAUCUUCAUUACCUGCAUGGUCAGUCGCAAGCAGUGCAAGUGUAUCCUCAUCAAAAUCACUAGCAGAUGAGUACUCACCAUCAUCCCUGACAAUCAUAACUCGCUUGUUUGGGCAGUCACGCAUCAUGUGCCCAUAUCCCUUGCAUCGAUGACACUGAACAUCUCUUGUUCUUCCCGUGGAAUUAACCGAGGUGGCACUAGCGAUUGGUCUCUGGGCUGAUUUAGUUGCUGUAUUUGUGGAAGAAUCAUGUGGUUUGUCGCUAUAGGAAGGUGGUGGAGCUAUUGAUCGGCUUGAUGGAAGAGGUACACCACCCGACAAUGUAGCAGAUGUGCGUUGUUGCCAGGAUUUCCCUGCAGAAUUGUUAGAUUUGGCACUAGAACAUUGUCCCUGCACUUCCCUUUCAGCUUUACAAGCAAGAUGAAACAAACGGGUUACGUUAGUAUAAUCUUUAUAAGCAAGAAUGUCCUGGAUUUCACGAUUUAACCCGCCCAAAAAUCUAGCCAUAGCAGGUUCUUCUUCCUCCUCUAAAUUACAUCGCAGCAUACCCAUUUGUAAUUCCUGAUAAUAUUCUUCUACACUUUUAGCACCUUGUCUCAAUUGCUGCAACUUAUUAAUCAUGUCACGUGCAUAGUAAGAAGGAACAAAUCUAGCCCUCAUGACUUGUUUCAACGCAUUCCAAGUUCUAGGUAUGUUAUUAGGAUUUCUGNNNNNNNNNNNNNNNNNNNNNNNNNNNNNNNNNNNNNNNNNNNNNNNNNNNNNNNNNNNNNNNNNNNNNNNNNNNNNNNNNNNNNNNNNNNNNNNNNNNNNNNNNNNNNNNNNNNNNNNNNNNNNNNNNNNNNNNNNNNNNNNNNNNNNNNNNNNNNNNNNNNNNNNNNNNNNNNNNNNNNNNNNNNNNNNNNNNNNNNNNNNNNNNNNNNNNNNNNNNNNNNNNNNNNNNNNNNNNNNNNNNNNNNNNNNNNNNNNNNNNNNNNNNNNNNNNNNNNNNNNNNNNNNNNNNNNNNNNNNNNNNNNNNNNNNNNNNNNNNNNNNNNNNNNNNNNNNNNNNNNNNNNNNNNNNNNNNNNNNNNNNNNNNNNNNNNNNNNNNNNNNNNNNNNNNNNNNNNNNNNNNNNNNNNNNNNNNNNNNNNNNNNNNNNNNNNNNNNNNNNNNNNNNNNNNNNNNNNNNNNNNNNNNNNNNNNNNNNNNNNNNNNNNNNNNNNNNNNNNNNNNNNNNNNNUGCGAGGUGUAAGUGUGUUUUCGUUACCAUCAUCUGCCCCUGGCAUGGUUCAAAGACAAAGACAACAAAAAGGCAAGUGAAGAAAUAAAAGCCCUACAACUACUAGGAUGUAGCUACAGCAAGUCGCUCACACUCAACCUGUAACACAAGUUCUUACCAAUUCUUACCUUGCUUGACAGGAGGGGUCGUCUGCCAACAAGUGUACAGCAAUGGACGAAGUGUAUCGGUGCUGCAGCACAAGACCUGUCAAGCUGUAGAGUAUGUGGAGCUAUAGGUGGGCUGAAACAAGGAACGAACUAGCACCACGUUAGUUAUAAAAGCGAGCUGAAUAAACGCUCAACGGUGGUACUGUGCUGGUCCUAGCCUAGACCGUGCUAGAGACGCGAGCCUGGACACAAAGGGAAAACACAGCACACCACUAGAAACAAAAUGAGCAGCACUACUGGAAACAAAAAGAACAACAAUCCCCUUCUUUUGAUUUUUUUUUCUUUUUUCUUUCUUUCUUUCUUUUUUUUCUUUAUUUUUUUCUUUCUCUUUUCUUUUUUUUUUGGGGAACCUCAAAACCUGCUUAUAUAAAUGAAAUAGUACAAAAUAUCACUUCACCACUCUCACCCUCUCACUAGAGUAAGGCUGAACCUCAAAAUUCAAUAUAUCUAGCACAAGUAUGAAGUGCUAUCUUUCCUUUUGGAUCACGUUGAUGGAAACGCAGAAUAGACAAACAAGUGGCUGCACCUAUUAUCAAGAUCUACUCAAAUUCCAACCCACAAUAGAUUGGACGCAGUUGUGACUAGAUGGUGACAAGAACUCAAAACUCUAAAGGACUAAACUAAAACCAGCACNN